rnacentral:lncRNA from 1 species
CACACAGGAGUUUCUAGCAUGAAAAAACUCAUGGUCCCUUUGAGCCUGGGUGGCGGUCCAUAGGAGAAUCACACAGUACCCCGGGAUUUCCAAAAAUACAGGCAACAUUGGGUUUCCCAGGUGCCUCAGUCCACCCAGAUGUGAAUUUAAGUUGCCACCUUAAGUAAACCAUUAAUUUAACAAUCUCACAUCUGUCAUGGAUACACUCACCCAAUCCACGUCUACUAGCAUAGCAUAGCAAAAAUAAGCAAACGCAGAAGUAACUCCCAAAGGUUUGAUAAUAAAACAGGUAAUAGGUUCUACCUCAUCUACUUCUCAAAACCCACAUAUUAAUCAGAUCCUAAUCAUGCAAUUGUUUGAGGAUUGAUCUAAUGCAAUAAAACUGGGUAGUAAGAGGUAUGAUCAAAGUGUUACUUGCCUUGCUGAUGAUCCGUGAAACCUAGAAAUUCGAAGUAGCAAGUGGCACACUCCAGGUACUCUAUCACAAACAAACAAGCAUACAAUAAGCAAUCAACUAAUGCACAGGUAAAACUCAAAUAAUAGAUCUAACCAGAAAGUUCAACUUAAGAACUCCGGUUUGCAAAAGGAAUCAAACCAAACGAAGCAACGAAAGUCAAACGGCGAAAGAAACAAGCUUCAUUUACUAAUCUGGACGUAAUUCAAAUUGUACAGUAGCAAAAACUUGUUUGAGUUGGUUAAACGAAAAGAGGGUUUCGAAACGAAACUCUAGGCGCUUGAAUCGCCUGAUUUUCGAUAAACGAGCGAAAAGUUAUACUAGAACGAAAAUUGGAUCAGAAAUCGCGAUCGAAAAUAAUUGCGGAAAAUCCGAUAAAAGGAAAAACGGACGAAGAGGCUAAAGAAUGAACGUUCGUUGUCUAUGGCUAAAAGACGAAAACCAUUCGUUAAAACGAACGAACGAACGGGCGUUUGCUAAAUAACUAAACCGGGGAAAAACCGAUCUAUAUAUAAAAAAUAAACUGGGUUCCUAAAAAACCCGACGGUUUUCUCUCGAAAACUGCGGCGGCGGCGGGGACUACCUCCGGCGGGUCAACGGCGNNNNNNNNNNNNNNNNNNNNNNNNNNNNNNNNNNNNNNNNNNNNNNNNNNNNNNNNNNNNNNNNNNNNNNNNNNNNNNNNNNNNNNNNNNNNNNNNNNNNNNNNNNNNNNNNNNNNNNNNNNNNNNNNNNNNNNNNNNNNNNNNNNNNNNNNNNNNNNNNNNNNNNNNNNNNNNNNNNNNNNNNNNNNNNNNNNNNNNNNNNNNNNNNNNNNNNNNNNNNNNNNNNNNNNNNNNNNNNNNNNNNNNNNNNNNNNNNNNNNNNNNNNNNNNNNNNNNNNNNNNNNNNNNNNNNNNNNNNNNNNNNNNNNNNNNNNNNNNNNNNNNNNNNNNNNNNNGGGCGCACUAUUCAAAGGGGCCAGCCAGGCGGAGUCCUGGUCGCCCACGACCCGUAGGUCCGUUAGCUUUUCAAAAAAAAUAUUUACGCGCAGAAAAACAAAUAAAAGAAAUACUAAACGGACUCCAAAAAUCGCGAAAUAAACUUUCCCGACUUCUAAAAUCAAACCGGACAGGAUGAACAUUUAUUUGGGGCCUAAAUGCAAUUUUGAAAACGCGCAUUUUUCCUAAAUUCAAAUAAAAUGGCCAAAAACUCUGAAAUAAAAUCUCGUUUGAUUUUAUUAUUAAAUCCUCAAUAUUUCUUUAUUUUGGGAAAGUCAUUUUAUUUCCUCUCUCAUAUUUUUAUAAUAGAAAUAAUUGAAGAUAAAAUAAUUAAAAUCGAAUGAUCCUAUUUUCAAAAUUUGAGAAAACUCAAAUAUGAAAAUAACGAAAUCCCCAACUCUCUCUGUGGGUCCUUGAGUUGCGUAGAAUUUCUAGGAUCGAGCCAAAAAUGCAAUUAAAAUAUGAUGCAAUGAUGAUCUAAUGUAUAACAUUCCAAAUUGAAAAUUUGGGAUGUUACACUUAGGUCAUCCACUUGAGGGAAAUUUCCUAUUGUCCUACAAAACUCUACGCUUGGAGGUCCAACACGAGUCUACAAGAAGAAGGUUGCAUAGUAGACAUCAAACAACACCAACAGCAUAAUCACUAGCAUCACAAAUAAUUACAAAGGGCGGGUUCCAAUCCGGUGGUUGAACAAUAGGUGCAGAAAUCAAGGCUUUCUUAAGUAUUUCAAAUGCUUCUACACAAUCAUCAUAAAAAACAAAUGGGGCAUCUUUUUGCAAGAGAUUAGUGAGAGGCCUAGAAAUUUUAUAGAAGUCCUUAAUAAAUCUCCUAUAGAAACCAGCAUGACCAAGGAAACUUUUUAUACCUUUGAUAUCCGUAGGACACGACAUUUUUUCAAUAGCAUCAACUUUAGCUCUAUCAACUUCAAUACCUCUUUCGGAUAUUUUAUGCCAUAAGACAAUACCUUCAUUAACCAUAAAGUGGCGCUUCUCCCAAUUCAAGACAAGAUUAGUUUCUUCGCAUCUCUGCAAAACUCGAUCAAGGUUGCUUAAGCAACGUCAAAAGAAGUUCCAUAAACGGAGAAAUCACCCAUGAAAACCUCAACAAUCUUUUCACAAAAGUCAGAGAAUAUAGCAGUCAUACAUCAUUGAAAGGUAGCAGGUGCAUUACAUAAAUUAAAAGGUAUGCACCUAUAAGCAAAAGUACCGAAAUGGCAAGUAAAAGUAGUAUUUUCUUGGUCCUCUUUUGACAUAGGUAAUUGGGAAACCCCAGAAUAACCAUCUAGCAAGCAGAAGUGUGUAUGUUUUGAUAGUCUUUCUAGCAUUUGAUCGAUAAAAGGUAGAGGGUAAUGAUCUUUUGUAGUAGCUUUAUUUAAGUUUCUAAAAUCAAUAACCAUUGUAUAACUUGUGACAAUUCUUUGUGGAAUCAAUUCAAUUUUAUCAUUAGGAACAACACUGAUACCUCCCUUCUUAGGGACACAGAGAACAGGACUUACCCAUCUACUAUCAGCAAUAGGAUAAAUUACACCUGCUUCCAUAAGCUUUAAUAUUUCAUUUCUUACCACUUCUUUCAUCGUAGGAUUUAACAGUCGUUGAUGAUCAACAACUUGUUUAGCAUCAGUCUCCAUAUUAAUUUUAUGCUGGCAUAGAGUAGGACUAAUGCCCUUAAGAUCAUCAAGAGUAUAUCCAAUAGUUGCAUGGUGCUUCCUCAGAGCUUUCAAUAAUUUAUUUUCUUCAUGCUCUGAAAGGUUAGCACUAAUAAUAACAUGGUAUAUAUUUUUCUCAUCAAGAUAAGCGUAUUUCAGAUUAUCAGGUAAUUGUUUAAGCUUGAACACGGGAUCACCCUUGGAUGGAGGAGGAUCCCCAAGAAUCUCAACAGGCAAGUUGUGCUUCAAAACAGGCGUCUGUUUAAACAAUACUUUAUCUAUUUCAUUUCUUUCAUUCAUAAACAUAUCAUUUUCAUGAUCUAGCAAAUAUUGUUCUAAAGGAUCAGUAGAAGGCAUAGCAAUAGAAGCAAGACCAAUAAUUUCAUCUUUACUAGGAAAUUCUCUAUCAUGGGGUUGCCUAUGAAAUUUGGAGAAAUUAAACUCAUGAGACACAUCCCUAAAACUUACCGUACCUGUUUCUUUCUCACAAUAUAUCUUGGCAUUGACUGUGUUCAAGAAAGGUCUACCGAAUAUAAUGGGACAAAAAUCAUCUUGUGGGGAACCAAGAACAAGAAAAUCAAUAGGGUGUUUUAUUUUCUCGCACAAGACUUUGACAUCUCUUACAAUCCCAAUUGGUGAUAUAGUAUCUCUAUUAGCAAGCUUAAUAGUAACAACAAUUUCUCCUAUCUCAGCAGGUGCAAUAUCAUUCAUAAUUUCUUGAUAUAAAGUAAAGGGAAUUGCACUCACACUAGCACCCAAAUCACAUAAGCCAUGAUAACAAUGAUCUCCUAUUUUAACAGAAGCAACAUGCAUGCCAACAACAUGUCUAUGUUUGUCUUUAUUAUUGGGUCUAGCAAUUCUAGCAGCUUCAUCACAAAAGUAAAUAACAUGCCCAUCAAUAUUAUCGACCAAGAGAUCUUUAACCAUAGUAAUACGAGGUUCAACUUUAAUUUGUUCAGGGGGGUGUAGGUGUUAUAGUAUAACUCUUAUGAACAAUAGUUGAAGCUUUAGCAUGAUCCUUUAUUCUAACAGGGAAAGGUGGUUUCUCAAUAUAAGCAGUAGGAAUAACAGGAUCAGCAUUAUAAGUAAUAGUUUCUUCUCCAACUUUAAUAGGUUCUACUACUUUCACUUCAAUGGGAGGAUGAUACUUAAACCACUUAUCCUUAGGGAGAUCAACAUGAGUAGCAAAUGAUUCAUAGAAAGAAGCUACUAUCUCACGGUCAAGUCCAUAUUUAGUGUUAAAUUCACGAAAAGCACAGUAUCCAUAAAAGAUUUAACACAAUCAAACUUAAGGUUUAUACCUGACUCCUUAGCUUCGUUGAGUUCCCAAUCUUUGGAGUUGCGUUUAAUUAUUUCAAUAAAUCCCAUUUCAAUUCAAUAGUCUUCUUCAUAAAAAAACUAGUACAAGAAGUAUCGAGCAUUGAUUGAUCAUUACAAGAAAGCCGAGCAUAAAAAUUCUGAAUAAUAAUUUCUCAGGAGAUAUCAUGAUUGGGGCAUGAAUAUAACAUUGACUUAAGCCUCCCCCAAGCUUGAGUGAUACCUUCUCCUUCACGAGGCCAAAAAAUUAUAUACUCCCUCCUUUUUUAUAUACAUGGCCACAAACUCAAAUUCCAGGUAGCAAGGUAAAAAUUAGUACUUGUUUUACAAUCUAACUUUUAUUUUCAUUUACUGGGAUCAUUAAUACACCACAUGCAUGCAAGAAAACUGAGUGGAGGAGGUAGCUAAGUGACAUUAUGACAGCAUGCAUGCAAGCAUUAAACAAGUGGCUAGUACGAGAAAACAUCAUUAAUUUUGGACUAGUAUAGAUGCAAAAUGUACAUUCCAUAGUGGCCUUGUAUAAGUAAAUGGAGGGAGUAUAUAAUUUCGAUCAUGAUGAACCAGAUGCAUAGGAUAAAACUUCUGAUGAAAUUCCAAUUUCAAUCGGUUGUAGUUCCAAGAUCCCAUAUCAUCACAUAGCAUAUACCAUGUCAAUGCCUUCUCCUUCAAAGAUAAAGGGAAGACCUUCUUCUUGACUUCAUCCACGGGCAAACCUGCAAGCUUAAAUAAUUCACAAACUUCAUCCACAUAGAUUAGAUGCUCGUCAGGAUGUAGUGUUCCAUCUCCUGCAUAAGGAUUAGCUAGUAGUUUCUCUAUCGUACACGAAGGAAUUUCAUAAUAAAUAUUUUCAGUAGGUUCACUAGGUUGAGUAGCAACUCUUUGUGCUUCCGGUCAGGGUGAAGAUACCCCAAACAGACCCCUCAAAGGAUUAUUUUCCAUAGUAGCAAGUGACAGUGCAUUUCAUCGCACUAUAUAAAUUUUUCCUUACCAAAGGUGCUUCACUCCCCGGCAAUGGUGCCAGAAAAGAGUUUUGAUGACCCACAAGUAUAAGGGAUCUAUCAUAGUCCUAUCGAUAAGUAAGAGUGUCAAACCCAACGAGGAGCAGAAGGAAAUGACAAGCUGUUUUCAGCAAGGUAUUCUCUGCAAGCACUGAAAUUAUUGGUAACAGAUAAUUUUGUGAUAAGAUAAUUUUUAAUGGGUAACAAGUGUAACUAAAGUGCAGCAAGGUGGCCCAAUCCUUUUUAUAGCAAAGGACAAGCCUGGACGAACUCUUAUAUAAAGCAAGCGCUCCCGAGGACACAUGGGAAUUAUUGUCAAGCUAGUUUUCAUCAUGCUCACAUGAUUCACGUUUGUUACUUUGAUAAUUUGAUAUGUGGGUGGACCGGUGCUUGGUGUUGUACUUACUAUGAAAGAAGAAUUAAGAGAAAUCUAACCAUAGCAUGAAACAUGUGGAUCCAAGUCAGCCCCUUACAAAGCAAUGCAUAAAGUAGGGUUUAAGCUUCUGUCACUCUAGCAACCCAUCAUCUACUUAUUACUUCCCAAUGCCUUCCCGUAGGCCCAAAUCAUGGUGAAGCGUCAUGUAGUCGACGUUCACAUAACACCACUAGAGUAAAGAUAACAUGCAUCUCAUCAAAAUAUCGAACAAAUACCAAAUUCACAUGAUUACUUAUAACAAGACUUCUCCCAUGUCCUCUAGAACAAACAUAACUACUCACAAAGCAUAUUCAUGUUCAUAAUCAGAGGAGUAUUAAUUAUCAUUAAGGAUCUGAUCUGAACAUAUGAUCUUCCACCGAAUAAACCAACUAGCAUCAACUAGAAGGAGUAAUCAACACUACUAGCAACCCACAGGUACCAAUCUGAGGUUUUGAGACAAAGACUGGAUACAAGAGAUGAACUAGGGUUUGGAGAGGAGAUGGGGUUGGUGAAGAUGUUGAUGGAGAUUGACCCCCUCUCGAUGAUAGGAUCGUUGGUGAUGACGAUGGCUUCGAUUUUCCCAUCCGGGAGGGAAGUUUCCCUAGCAGAACAGCUCCGUCGAAGCCCUAGAUUGCUUCUGCCCAGGUUCCGCCUUGAGACGGUUGUGCUUCAUCCCUAAAGCUUCCUUAUGAUUUUUACAGGUCAAAAGACAUCAUAUAGCGGAAAAUGGGCACCGGGGGCCUGACAGGUAGGCGACAAGCCAGGGGCGCGCCUAGGGGGUAGGGCGCACCCCCACCCUUGAUGUCGCCUGGUGGGCCCCCUAUGGUAUUUUCUUCACCCAAUAUUUGUUAUUAAUUCUAAAAUAAUUCUCCGUAAAUUUUCAGGACUUUUGGAGUUGUGCAGAAUAGGUCUCUCAUAUUUUCUCCUUUUCCAGUCCAGAAUUCCAGCUGUCGCCAUUCUCCCUCUUCAUGUAAACCUUGUGAAAUAAGAGAGAAAAGGCAUAAGUAUUGUACCAUAAUGUGUAAUAACAACCCAUAAUGCAAUAAAUAUCAAUAUAAAAGCAUGAUGCAAAAUGGACAUAUCAUACCCUGAUGGCAUCAAGAACAACAUCAAGACCAGGAAUACAAGUCAUCAUACCAACGUGGAAAGGUGAGCUGAAAUCGUGAUGGUUCUUGGCUGGUGAACAUUUGUUCCGUCAUGUCCUUUCAAGCACAGCUUGUCAUCUGAAACUUUUUGUUUUGGUUUAGUUUAAACAUUUAGCUUUUGGCAUGUGCAGAGUGCAGGCUUUUGUCUGUCGUAAUCAAACAUCAGUUUAUUGAUUAUUCUAUUGGAAAAUGUUGCAUACAUCUAGCUAUUUAACAUGCAACUAAUGUUUCAUUGUGGUUUGUGUGUAUGUUUUUUGUGGUGGACAAUUCUUACUGAUUUUUUUGUGUACGUUUUUGUGGAUUUAAAUCCCGAGAGGAAUAAAGUUUGCAUAUUUUCAUCCGAUUUCAUUUUUAAGGUCUCCAAAUUCUUAUACCCUGAUGUUCUCAAAUUCUUAGAAGAAUGUUCUCACACGAACACUGUUAAUACAACAAUUGUUCAUUUAACUUUUUUGUUUAAUAAUUUUGCUUAACAAUCGGUUAGAUGGUUGACUUAAAUCCCGAGAGAAAAAAGUUUGCAUCUUUUCAGCUAAUUCCAUUUGUAAGUUCUCCAAAUUCUUAUACCCCAAUUACCUCAAAUUCUUAGUAGAAUGUUCUCACACAAACAUUGUUAAUAUAACAAUCAUUUGUUUAAGUUUUUGCUUAAUAAUUUUGUAGCUUGAGGCAGAUGGGAGAUGAAGCAGCCAAUGGCACUCUCCAGUUGACCCAUUUAUUCUAGUAUUUCCUUUUUCCUGCGAGUUGAGGAGAUCCUUACCAGCAGCAUGUCUUUCUAGCAUGCAUUACCAAGUGAGUAGUCUUUUCUAUUUUAGUCCUUCCCUUGCCCUUCACCUGAUUUGUUUUAUUAUUAGGCCGAUGAUAGUUGAGAGAUUGAAAUUAGUUUAUGAGGCUUUGUGCCCAGGAGAUCCUUGUCUUAUUUAUAGUUGAGUAGUAUGGUUGUCGACCAUCAGGUUUUAGGUUACUAUUUUUAUGACUUCAGCUACGGUUCCUAUUUGUAGUGCGCAUGCAAGAAAGAAAACAAGAAAAUAAUGUUUGUGUUAGGUACCGUAAAUAACUUUUGUUGUGAUGAUGAUAAAUAAGUUGUUUGGGUAUUAAAGUAUGCCAAGAAAUUAUUGAAUCCGUUUAUCAUAUAGCUUGGCUCUCUCCUAUUUUCACGACUGGUCUAGCAAUUGCCUGUGGUUGUGCCUCCAUAAUUUAGAGAAAUUUUAAUACGAAAUUCUUAAAAUAUCUUAUGUCCAUCCUGUUAUGGUAGUGGCAAAGAAACAGAGGCAAUUCCCCAAUAUUAUGUGCUUAUUUUUGCAGUACUUCACAUUCAAUAGUUCUACUAAUGUUUAAUGGUUCAUUCUUAUUAAAAAUACAUUUAGAUUUUUUUUAUUUUCAACUCUAUUUUGUGGUCCUUUUGACAGAUUGGAUGUAUUAGGGUGGGUAGACUAAACUAAAGCUUCUUGAUAUAGAUCUAGCUUGAAAUAUUCUUAGUAACACAAAGUACCAUUGUUCUUCCAGGAAGUGGAUUAGUUUGCAGGAGGCACGUUCACACGGUCCAUUCAGAUUUUCAGACUGAAUUAGGGGCAUAUAGUGACGAAAUGAAAAAUGGUAUCAGGUGAGCUGACUUUGACCAUGACUAUUGAGCUAUAACACAAAUUUGUAUGUACAUUACAUUAUGAAAUAUUUUCUCACUAUUUUGAAAUCACAAAGUGCAAUUAAUUGCAGAUGAUGUGCCUUGUGGAAGAACUGAGCACUCAUAUUUUAUACUUAGAAUUUAGAAAUAGGUUUUUGGUUGGUUUGGAUUAGUAAUACUACUUGAGGCAGCCUUUUGAAAAUUUAUGUAAGAUGACCCGAGUACCAUUCGAAGUGUUUUUUGUAUUAACAUUCAUGUAUAUGUAGCUCUGAUAAGUGUUAGUUUGUUUAGUUUUCCAACACCAUAGCUGAUGUUUUCUUUAUAGAAUAAGAUGGAACUAAACAUAUCCAAAGCAGCAUUUAUAGUUACUCAACUCUGACAAGCUUUAACAGAUUUAACUUUAUAAUGACAAGGAAGUCGAGGACUGUGUAAUUUCUACUCCGUAUGGAUGUUGUUUAACCAUAUAUUUGUUGGACAUUGUUUCUUAAAUAGUUAGCUGGCGCCUGCCGUGUAAUUUGUUGAGCUUUUUGAUGCUCUAUUUGAUUUUCGAUCCAUUAUUUGUGCCUGAUUGAGCUUACCAGUGCUACUACCAAAUACUUAUGUACAUGGCAACUCGAAUAGAGUCUUAACUGUCUAAAUUUUCAUAAGACUGGAUCAGGUGGAAUUUUAAACUACUGUAAAUUUGAUGGCCUGUGUAUACAAUAUGCUAUUUUUUAUAUUUGCAAUGCUUCAAUGAUUGUAUUACCGGAUUGGAUAUGACUAUACCCGACAGCGGAUGCUGCCUGGUACGGCAAGCCGCACUUCCUAACUAGUAGAUGAUAAGACUAUGUUUGGUUGACAGGGUUGUGAAGGGGGUUUGGCAGGGAUUGAGGUGGAUUUAAUCCCCUACAAGUCAAAAGCAUCCCAAACCCCCUCCAAUCCUCUUGACAAAGGGUGUAACCGAAAAGGCCUAAAGGGUUUCGCCCCGUUUUAUAUUAUAAAGCAACACUUUCCACACAUAGAACAAUAUUUCAGUCUAGGACAAGCCAAGUGUCAGCUAGAGACCCUUCUAGCUAAAUGGUUCCAUCCACAAAUUACGGCAUACGCCUCGCGCAACACCUCCUUGAUCCUCAGCACACCAGCUUCAGUUUUGUUUUUGUCUUGGCUUUUCUAUAAUAUGCUCUAGGAUUUCAAAAAAUAGCAUAGAUUGAAAACAACAACGGUUGGAUUAUUAGGAUUUUUUUAUCAAAACAUGUUUUGUUUCUAGUUUCCAGAUAGUACAACAAAUAAUAACUGCCCCCUUAGCACAAGAUGCAUCUGAUUUCUAGGAAAAGGAGUGCAACCAACACCCCAGCAUUAUUUGUUACCCCAUCAGGAGGUCUGGUCAGAUCAAAAGCAUAGAUAACUACUUGCCAAAAAAAUUAGCCAAGUUAUAAUGAAACAAGAUGUGAUCAACAAUUCUGUUAACCCACACAGAAGUGGCACUCCUCAUUUACAGUCCAACCUCUCUUUAUCAGGUUAUCCUUAGUUAGUGUACUUCUUUUAAUCAUCAACCAAAGAAAGACCUGGUCUUGAGAGGCAGCUUCAGUUUCUACAUGCCUCUAAAUCCAACAAAGGGAGAGGAUUUAAGAAAUAGGUAAAGCUCUUUCACCACAAUUGUUUUUGUUGUUCAACAAUCAUAUAACUCUAUCUUUGAUGUCACUUAAUUCCACCUCAUCAACUGGUUUCUUCAACUCCUCCCAUUGCCCCAAGUAUUCUCCAUGUAAGGACCUGUAAAACUAAAAAAAAAACAUUCGAAUCUUUCACAAACUUGGUAAUGACCUGCUCAGUAAAAGUAAUAUUGUAGAUUCUAGAAACAAGCUCAACAAGUUUCUUCUCUCCCAGCCAAACAUCUUCCCGGUACAAGAUCUUAGCACCAUCACCAACCAUCAUUCUGGUCAGGCUGACAAAAGUACCUUUAACCUUCAUCAGACCUUGUCAGACUUGUGAUUCAUUAUUUCGCCCAACCACAUCCAUCAAAGUCUGGCUAGAAAAAUAUUUCCUAAACAACAGCUCUUGCCAUGGACCCUUAGAGUUCUCAAGCUUCCUGGCUAGAAAAAUAUUUCCUGAACAACAGCUCUUGCCAUAGACCCUUAGAGUUCUCAAGCUUCCGGAAGCCAUUUCAUUAGCAAGAAUUUUUUCAUGAUGUCCAAAUCCAAAAUACCAAGUCCUCACGGCUUUUAGGCAUAUACACAACAUACCAGUUAACUAGAUGGUAUUUCUUCUUAUCCUGAGUCUCUUGCCAAACCAUCCCGCCUCUACUAGCAUUCAUAGUCUUAAGCACACCUUUAGGAGCCUCCAGAAAGGAUAACAUAAGGAGGGGAGUGCUGGUCAACAAUCCCGAGUUGAUAUGGGAAAAUUAUCCAUUUCAGGAGAAAGGGAAAUGCACCAAUAGAUAUUAUCUUUUGCAGAAACAACAAUUAUUUUUCGCCAAAGCAAACACCACAAGAGAUUGUGGUGUAAGGGAUAAAAAUAAGAUUUGUUCAUUCUAAAAAAGUAGAGUAUGUUUUUUCCAAAGGCUAUAAGCAUAUAUAUAUUAAACAAAUCUUAUCCUUUCGAAAAUAAAAUAAGUCUAAACAUUAUGACAUCGUACCUAACAAAAACAAAAAUUAAGAACAAGCCAAGGGGGAUUCAUCAUCCCCAGCCUGCACAAGCCAAGACUGCAAAGUGAGCCUUUCCCUAUGCCACACCUCGUUGUAACUACAAGAACUCAUUGUUAUAAAAACUCUGGUUCCAAAGGGCACACAAUGAAAGGAUUCAACGCCCAUUGACACAAGGGGGGCAAGGGCGUGCAUGCGGAAACAGAGGGUGCGGGGCGACCAGGGUCGGGCAUAGUAGGAGCCACCGAGUCACAAGACGACAUUGAGGGAUUGGUCGUCACUUAGACAUGAUUGAUCCCUCUAGCGGAGGGGGUGCGCACUUUGGAGCAUGGUGGCCAUAGUAGUGGCACUGAUGCAUCGUAUGUCAAGAUGACACCCAGGGCAAGGAUGGAUGGGACUCGGCAACGAGGAUAGCCUCCUGACGGAAAAUGCACCGAUCAAAGCUACGUAGGCGGUGGCGCGCCGGGUGAUCAUUGUGAGCACGCUCCCACUUUCUACCAUCAGCAAGCUUCCAAUCUCCUUGUGCAGUCGUGACAUAAACUUCCACACAAUGAACCUCGAAUCAAGACCACGACGUGCGACUAGGCAAGCAUGCUUGGAUGGCACGAGCGAUUCAUAGAGUGGACGAUGGCAGGACCAUGACAAUGUUGCACCAAAGUCGCCAGAUGAGGGGCUGGAUUCCUACCAGCAUAGUUCCCGGGAGCACCCACCCGCAACAGGUGGCGUGGGAGGCACCAUGCGAACAGAGAGAGGGGUGAUGGAGGAGCCUCGUGCCAAGAGCAAGUGGUCGCUGGCGCCAGCGUGGCAUCCCCAGCAAGGGCUGAGGUGGGUGUCGAGGCAGGAGUGGACACCGACGACGGCCUAGGAGCACGAGAGCUAGAGCGGAAAAGUAGUUGUUAUCCUUUGUCGUGAAACCGUGCAUCACACCAAGAAUGUCCAAUGAUCUAUGUUGUUGUCGUGCCUCAAUGUAGAGGCAACCCGUGUGAAUCAUGGUACGUGGGGUAGAGGAGAGUUUGUGACAGGUAUAGGUGAGGCCCAAGGACCGUUGAGGUCAGUUGACCCUACAACGAUGGCCACGGGCCCCAGGGUAAUGGCGUAGAAGGGAGAGGGUUGAUUGGCAUUGGUGCUGCUGCUGAAUUUGAUGGGGAAGAAUUAUGACGGGGAGGAGCAGAACAAAGAGGCAGAGGCGGCGUAGCGGGUUCAUGCCCUUAACGGAGUUUUGUGUUCUUCUUUAGAAAAUAAGAUUGACUAGGAGUUUGAGUUCUUCUUACCAUGUCCUUUACGAGCUCCGCCUAUAAUAUUCAACUCAGAUCUUCACAUCAACAUGUUCCCACUUGUUUUCUAAAUAUAAACCCACAAGGAAAAAAAUCUCUCUCGAAUACGCACAGCGUGCGUAUCAUAUUAUACAGAAAGAAGGGUAAGGAUUAACCCCUAGUCCACCAUGCGGUGAUACAAAGUUCACACCACACUCCACUCCAUGCUCUACUACAAGAAGCUAAGGAUUACUCUUGCGUAACCCACACAGCUACCACUCCUAGUAGCUGAUCCAAAUCUCCCUUGAUGAGACCAUCCUCUUGCCAUGUCCGACACUCCGUCUCAAAGUGUGCAGCAACGGUCCUAACCGAGGGUGAAAAUCUAUAACCGAAUUCCUAUGCUUCUAGAGCACCCACAUUCCAAGAAGUAAAACUGCCCUUAUGUCUCUCGACUUGUGCCCCACUGAAGUCUUGUUUAGGCACCACGACUAGAGCGUGUCAUCGGCUCCUGGCGUCCAGUCCGCCCUUCCUAGGGCCGUGCAGAUCAUCGUGACAUCGUCCACACCGUUCGCGCGAAGACACAACCUAGCAUGAUGUGGUUCAUAAAUUCGCCGUGUUUGGCGCACAAAGGGCAAGAAUCCUGGUGUGGUAGCCCCCUCCUAAGCAGCCUAUCUGAAGUCUAGCAUAUAUUCUUGAUUGCGAGCCACGCAAAGAAGCGACAUUGUAGCAGCGCCCUGGACCUCCAUGUGAACUCAGUUGUAGGAACCACCUCUCAGCCAGCAAAUUUUACGGCAUUGGCUGACCGUACGGAGAAAUAAACAUCGCCUUCCCAAGACCAUCUAAUUGAGUCAUUGCAUCCAUCCAUAAGUUGCACCGCGGUGGUCCUAAAGUUGCAUGUACUCCUGAAGUGCUCGAACCCCUAUGCCCGGUCCAAAGUCUGUAGCCUAGGCCUUGUUUGAUAGUGCACCGUGAAUUGUCCUCGAAAGCCUUACACAUCGAAGCACUCUCUCAUAUAAGGAUGGCGUAAUUUUUGCAACUCGCAGGCUGUCUAACCAUCGGUCCUCCCAGAACAUGGUGUCAUGACCGUCACCAAUUGUAGCUCGGGAUGCAGCAGUGAACAGUGCUAGAGACUCCUUCGGCAUGGGAAUAUCAAACUCCGCACACGGCCUCUCUCCAUCCGAUCUGUGCAGCCAUGGCCAGCGUGCUUGCAUUGCUAUGUUGAGCCACCUGAGGUUUGGGACGAAAAUUAUAUACCUACGGGCGUUUUCCUUACGGACUGUGGCAAAACUCGGUUUGGAAUGCACGCUUAGUUUUUUCCUCUUCUAUGGAUGCAAAAAAAAAGCUUCAAGCUUGACCAUAGUUGUUUGAUCACGACACAUGAGAACUACGUUCAGCACAAGAAAACAGUUACCACUAUGUUGAUUUUGUCAGAAAAUAUAGAUCCAUGCGCGCAUGAUACCUUGGGCAUGUCAAACUUUCUACAGUACACCCACAUGACGAUGGGUAAGGAAUCCUGAACACAUGCGGUACGGGAAUCGUAUCUAGGUAUGUGGUAUUUGAUUCGAUCCAUCGCGAUCUAAAUUUAUUCUAUAGAUCAUCCGUACAUUCACAAAAGAAAUGUUAAUACGCCCAUCGUACAAGAUCGAGCUUAUUAAUUUCUCCACAAACUCCAGUUUUGUAUCGAGUAUUUGGAUCAGUUUUACAAAUCUGAUGAUCCUAAGGAAGUUGUCCAAGGCUCCAUAUUGAUAUAUAUUGAUAUAUAGAAGUACACACACAUAUAAUUCGGAGUCAUCGGUUGCAUUUGGUGGGGUCAGGGGAGUGAAACCGGCCGGCCACCACACGUCUCUUUCGAUUCCAUCAGCUGAUCUGUGCGUAAUGAUCUCAUCAAAAGUUUUUCUUUUGUGUCUGUCCAUUUGAGUAGAUUGGGUAUCUAAUUAGAUUAGUGCUAAUCCUAGUACUCAUCUAAAGUAUGUUUAACAUACAGAUACAAGUAUGAUAUUUAACUACGAAAUAAACAUACUGCAACUACCUAACUCUCAAAGGCUAAAGUCAAUAUACGAUACACUUGGUGUAUAUCAACUUGCACACAUGGUGUAAGAAACAAUCAUUGGGAAACUAGUUUGAGUAUUUUUUUUGUCUCAUAUGAUCACCGCCAUUUUCAAAGUCAAAGAUGUAUCAUAUCAUUAUUUAUUAUUAUUUUUAUCGAAAACACUAACGCCCACACGUGUGGGCGUUUGCAUCUCGCCCACAUGCUUGAAUCCGCGUCCGUUUGUGGAUGCAUGAAUCUUGACAUGUUUGUGGUGCCACGUAGGAUUGGGCUGGUGUGUGGGCAUUCACCCGGUCGCUCACACGUCCGUUUCACCACACGGAGGGACCGAUGUGUGGGCGUUUAGCAGUUCACCCACACGCAUGUCGAUGUUCUGGGAACGGGGGUCUCCAGACUUGCCUGCCUGCGGCCUGCGGCGUGGCUCAAGCAGUGGCCCAGUGCGGCCCACCUCCAUCAGCUCAAGCUCAAGACCCUCGCGAGGGGCCAAGCCUCGCUGGGCGGACGAUGGGAAGUUUCCUCAGGAGCAGCCUCGUCAGGCAGGCUCGCGAGUAGGCGGAGAGAUCAAGGCAGGGGUACCUCGCGAGGUGCCCGUGACGCAAGCCAUGACGAGAUCGAGGCCAGGCGGGCGCCGGCCUGCGUAGUGUCCUUGUUUCCCCUUUGGUGCAAAGGGAGCAAGCACAAGCCAAGGCAUCAGGCAAAGGUUACCAUUUCGAUGCAACAAGACCAAGACCAGCAGAGCGGUAGGAUGAAGGUCACCGUGGAGCCCAAGACGGUGUCAUCGUCAGAGUCUUUGACAGUCGAAGACCAACUUUAGUCAGGAUAAGUGUACUAGAUGUUCCCUUUCAAAAUGGCCAAUUGUUGGCGCCCUUCCCGCUCAAUAUUUGGGAAGAGGACCAAGGUCUCUCUAUAUAUAGGACUAGCCACCACAGAAGAAAGGGACCCGGGACCAAAACCCUUCCAAAGGGGCAACACCACCACAAGAACAUCCCUCGCGAGGCUGUUCUUCCUUUGUAUUGUUCAUCAUCAGCCCCUGAGGCAAUCCACCACACCACACACUGGAGUAGGGUAUUACACCACAAUGGUGGCCUGAACCAGUAUAAACCUCGUGUCCCCUGUGUGUUCAUCUUCCUAGCCUAGAUUCUUUGCGAGGCUGCGAAAUGUGAGUUGGUAGGGGAGAGAUCUCCGUGUGCACCCUAGAGUUCGAACCUCAAGGGUCUACUAGAACCCGAAAUCCGACAUUUGGCGCGCCAGGUAGGGGUGCGCCAGAAUCGUGUCUUCCACCGUCUUGCGUUUCGUCGUCCAUCGCGCCCAUGUCUAACGCUCGCCGAGCCCGCGCCGAGUGUCGGGCUGCUCUCGCGGCCCAUGUCGCCCAGACGGCCCCCGUCGGCGGGCCUCCCCAUCGUUCCCCGUCGCCUGUCGCCCAUGCCGCCACCGGCCCGACGCGGAACGAGCAGCAGGCAUCGUCGCUGCAUCCCUCGGUGCGGCGGAAAGGCCGCACCGCCAUCCCAUCGCUGACUCCAGCAGGCUCGUCGUCGCACGCUCGUCGCGCUCCCGCGAACGCGCACGCCGUCUUGCUCCUGGCGCGUGAGCUCCUGCACUACCGCCCCAUCGAUGACCUCUAUGACGAGUGGCUCGCUUGCAUCACCGAGCUCGUCAGCACCGCAGGGGGCUCCCCUGCGCCGUCCCUCUCGCUGCAUCGCCCUCCGUCCUGCGUGGGCAACGCAGCUCCGGAGGCGCCUCCUCCGCCUCCUCCUCAAGAAGGCGCCCUGGCCCCAAGGCGUGCGGCCCCUGGACAAGACCCGCCGCGUCCGGCGCCUGCGCAGCAAGAAAAGAGCUGCCAAGAGGUCCCUCGCCCUCAAGACGGUGCUCGCGUGCUUCCUGCGCCAGCACGCUAUGACCGCGCUCCUGUUCCAGCGCGCCAAGACCCCACACUGCUCCUGGCGGCAGCGCGCGGAGGCCUCCAAGAUCAAGCCCUUCGUCACCAAAGGCCUCCUGUGGCCACUGCAGGCUGCCGCGCCUUCACCGCCUAGCUGCGCAGCAUGGCCUGGCCGGGCAAGUUCAAGCCAGAUCUGCCUCCUCGCUACGACGGCACUACCGACCCCGCGGAGUUCCUCCAGCUCUACGAGUUGGGCAUCGAGGCGGCCAACGGGGAUGAAAAGGUCAUGGCAAACUGGUUUCCCAUGGAGCUCAAGGAUGGCGCCCGCACUUGGCUCCUAAACUUGCCUCCCAGCACGAUCUCCUCGUGGGACGAGAUGCGCACUCGCUUCAUCGCCAACUUCUAAGGCACUCGCGACCGGCCCCCGGCCAUGAGUGACUUGCGCCGCAUCAAGCAACAGCCAGGAGAGACCCUGCAAAAGUACAUCCAGCGCUUCAACAACGCCCACCUCAAGAUCCCCAGGGUGACCGAGGAGGCGAUCAUCUCAGCCUUGUCUGACAGCGUCAGAGACAUCAAGAUGAAAGAGGAGCUAGCAAUCCAUGAAGACAUGUGCACAUCUCUGGAGCUGUUCAACUUGGCGACCAAGUGCGCCAGGGCUGAGGAAGGGCGCCUCUCCCUCCACGAGCUUCCAGCUGCUGAUCCGGAAAAGAAGAAGCCCAAGGUCGGGGACGUGAAGCGCAAAGGAGCGGCUGUGCUCGCAGCUGAGCCAGACACCAAGCGAGGCAGGGAUCAGCCGGAGUCAUCCAAGGGCAGCCGGUACUGCAUGUACCACGACCUCCACACCCACAACACCAACGAAUGCCAAGAGCUCAGAGCUGUGCGAGAUGGACGUAUCGGCCGACGCCCCGAGCGCAAUGAUCGGGGCUAUGGCCGAGGAGGAGGAAGAGGUGGACGACGAUGGGGAGACCGUGGCCCUCACCAAGGGUGGUGUGACCGACCUCGCGAGGACCGCUGGCAGGACCAGCCUCGCGAGGGGGGUUGGAGGGAUCAGCCUCGUGAGGAUCGCCCGCAAGGCAACGCAGCACUUCUAGGGAAAAGCCUAUGCAUAGAGGUAUAGCAGUAGCGCCAGUUAAAAUAGGGCGCUACUGCUAUUUGUAGUAGCGCGUUCACGCAAAGCGCGCCAUAGCACAAAAGUUAGCAGUAGCGCAUGUUCGGAAACAAGCGCCACCGCUAUAAUUCCCACGGCUUAGCCGAUAGGCUACACAUAGUAGUAGCGAUCCAUAUAGAACAGCGCUACCGCUACUUACAUUGUAGCAGCGUGUUUUCUUCUAAACACGCUACUGCUAAACGCUAUAAAAUUAAAUGGAAAGCAAAUAGAAAGGUAAUUGAAAAUGAAAGAAAUAGAAUAAGGUGAAAGGGAAAAAAAAUAAAAUGUGAAGAAAAAUAAAUGAAAAAGGGAAAAAAGAGAAAGGAGUAGCAGUAGCGUGUAUACCAGAACACGCUGUAGCUAACGUAGCAGUAGUGCGCUUUCUGGAACGUGCUACUGCUACUUCUGAAUUAACCACCCGCCCCGGCUCAAAAUUUGGCUAAGUCCUCCAUUCCCCCCUUUCCCCUACUCCUCUAUCGUCGCCGCCCGAGCCUGCCCUCACCGCCGCCGCCCGCCCUCAACCUCAGCACCGCCGCCCGCCGCCGCUCUCGACCUCACCGUCGCCGCCCUCGACCUCACCGUCGUCGCCCGAGCCCGCCCAGCAAUGCCGCCUCCCGAUCCCGAGCCCGCCCUCGCCACCCCUACCUCUCCGUCGCCGAGCACCUCCCCGCCACCGCCUCUCCCCUUUCUGUAAGCCCCCCACCCCUCCCCACCCCCUUUCUCUCUGCUUAAUUAGUUAGUACUAGAUGUUUUUUAGUAGUAGUAGAUGUUAAUUUAGGGUUCAUAGAUAAUGAUUUUUAGUAGUUGAACUAGUUUAGUUUUAGUUGAACUAGUUUAGUUUUAGUUGAACUAGUUUAGUUUUAGUUGAACUAGUUUAGUAAGUAAAUUAAUAAACUAGUUGAACUAGUUGAAUUAAUAGAACUAAUGUAUUUUUAGUAAGUAAAUUAAUAAACUAGUUGAACUAGUUACUUUUAGUUGAACUAGUUUAGUAAGUAAAUUAAUAUAACUAGGUGAACUGCUCUAUUUUUAGAAAGAACUAGUUUUUUUCUAUUUAUAGUAAGUUUAUAUUUAGUAAGAACUAGUUGAAUUAAUAGAACUAGUUGAACAUGUCAUAUUUGUUGUUAUUUUUUUAGUUUAAGCAAUUAUUCGGGAUGUAUUAGUGAUAACUUAUAGGAUUUUUGCUUUUGCAGAAAUCAAGGAGCCCCUCCAUCAUCCCCGCCGUCGUCCAUGUCACCGACCCCCUCCGACCUCGAGGUGAGACCUGCCAAAUCUCCAUGUAUAUCUUGUGUUGCUCAUAUAGGAUUUGUGGUUGCCCAAGUGGCCGGUCAUGUUCAGGUUAUACCUCCGAGUGGCCUAUGUUUUGCCGGAGUGUUGAUUAAUUUCCGUUCCGGCAAAUUUCAGGCGCUCGAUAUGUCCUUUUUUAGCAAAGUUCAUGCCAGAUUUUUCCGUGAAUUCUGGCAUGACUUGUGCUAGAAUAUGUACAAGUUUAAUCUUUGAAUUAUGAACAUAGGAAAUGUCGUACUCGGAUGAUGACAGUCUCCCAGGGGAGUGCAGCUGGUGCCACGACAAUCGAGGUAUGUGCGACAGGUUCGUUGAGCUAGACGAAGAUCGGCGCUUCAGCAUUAAGCUCGAGGAGACCUUCGAUGUUGAAACGGUACGCAACAACGACAAGUGUUUUGUUCGUAAUUAAGCAUGACUUCAACUAUUUCAACGUCUAAUUUUCAUAUUUUACAAUUAGACUAGCUUAUCCCAUGCCAUGCAAGACGCUAUGUCUUGGAGAGGAUUGGUUUUAAAGACCAUGAAAAUUUUGAAAUAAAGAAAAUACACCUAAGGACCUAUCAUGAUACAGAUUUUGAAGUAAAUCUGUGCAAUGCUCAGAGCGUAACCCAUUUUGCUUGCCAAAAUUGGGAAGCACUUUCAAAGUAUGGUUUUUAUGAGGGUAUGAUUGUCACCAUGGAUCUUGGUGAUCCUGACAUCGAGCAAGACAAUAUGGACAUUUGGGUCCUUGUUGAUACGCUUCUGAUUGUACCACUAUGUGAGUUUCUCAAACAUAGUUAUUAACUAAUUUAUAUUGUUUAUUUUAAAAUAGUUGACAGCUUAUUUCCAUUGACAGCUUAUUUUGAUUCUUCAAAGACUGUGCGGAAGAUGGUAGACAAAAUCCACUACACCGAUGCCUCCGAAUUAACUUAUAAGGAGAAAAAUCAUCUAAUCGCAUUUUGUACUCUUCUUGAGGAUUACAAUAACUAUUAUUUAACUCCUCCAAAUUAUGGUGAAUACGUGCCACUAGUGCACGUGUUGAACCACAGUAACUUCUCUGGAGAUACUCUGGUAAGAUUUUUACUAUUACGACAUCCGUGCAUCUUUUGCAUACUUCUAAAACUAGUACAUCAUUGCUAACUACGAAGUUAUUACUAUGUUUUUCAACAGAAACUCUUGAUGGAUUGUGUGCCUCAUCUGAUGUAUCUGAAUGGUCACCUUACAGUUCUGAACAUACUGCCAGGUAAAUCUAGGGAGCUCACCUGUGCAUAUCGGAUUUCUAAAACCGGUGAACACAUGCUCAUCAAAGAAUGGAAAAAAUGUUUGGACAUUCGCAAGGAGGUUCUUGGAAGUAACAUUCAGCGAAAGGCAAGAAUUGGAGACAGGAUAAUCUCCAUUCUCCAUAAUGGAGAGUCAGGGGCUAUCUUUUUUUUUGCUAUUUUACCUUAGAAAAUGUAGUAGGUCCUAUGAGGUACAAUAUGUUUAUUAUGUGGUAAUGUGUUAGAGUUGAUAAUGAGGAGUACUUGUGAUUACGACUAGUGACCAAUUUGCUAUGUGAUGUCAUUGAUGAAAACGAUGAUCUUGAGGAGGUGUUAUAUGACAAUGAUGUAUUAUGAUGAUAAGUUGUUAAUGAUAUGAUGAUGAUGAUGAUAUUAUAACCGCGGAUUAGUUUCAAGUGGAUGGACAUCCACUUGAAACUAGUCCACGGUUCUUUCACCCCGUGAUGUAAUAACUAUUAUGAUGUAAAAACAAUCUAAAUUCCUGUUGUAUGAAAACUUGUGUAAAGGUGUAUGAAUACAACAUGAAAUAAAAAAGAAAUAAAAUACUAAAUAAUAGUAGUAGCACGGGCAAGGAGAAGCGCUACUACUAAUUACCAGUAGCGCUCCUCUAGAGAAGCGCUACUACUAAGUCAAUUUAACAGUAGCGUGGGUCCAGGCACGCUACUGCUAAGAUUUAGCUGUAGCGCCGUAUCAGUAGCGCUCCUGCCCGCGCUACUGAUAGGCCUAAAACCCGUGCUGCUGCUAGGCUUUUCCCUAGUAGUGCAAGCCUCCCUCCUCUGCCUCCACCGUCAAGGAGGAAUGAGGACCAGCAUCAGGACGAGGGGGCUGGGGGCUUCCAGGAGCCGCGCGCAAUCACUUGCAUCCUGGGCAGAGCUCAAGCCCCGGCCUCUCAGCGCAUCUUCAAGCAGUUUGCUCGCGAGGUGAAUGCAGUCCUCCCAAAGCCCGAGGCCUCGCGCCCUCUUAGGUGGUCCACAUGUGCCAUCAUGUUCAGUUCAGCGGAUCAACUCAAGUGCGCAACAACGGCUGGAGUUCUCCCAAUGCUCUGUUCCCCAGUCAUCAGCAAUGUGCAGGUCACCAGGACCCUCAUCGAUGGUGGAGCAGGACUCAACGUUCUGUCUGUCGAGACGUUCAACAACCUCCAAGUGUCGUAUGAUCAGCUUCAGCCGACCAAGCCUUUCUCAGGAGUCACUGAUGGUUCUACCACCCCGAUAGGGCAGGUCCGCCUCCCUGUCACCUUCAGACAGCGCAAGAAUUACUGCACAUAGCUCAUUGACUUCGACGUCUCCCACAUUUGCUUGCCAUACAACGCCAUCCUCGGGUAUCCAGCCCUGGCCAAGUUCAUGGCAGUGACCCAUCAUGGCUACAAUGUCCUCAAGAUGCCAGGAAGCAGUGGAGUCAUCACAGUCCCCUGUGAGGAGAAGGAUGCAGUGUGUUCUCUCGAGCGUGCUUUCCAGGCCGCGGCAAUCGAAGACCCAGAUCACAAGAGCGGGAGCCUUCCCGAGGCAGUCCCUAAGAAGAAGAAGACAUCACCUGGCCCGAACCAUCGGGAGGCAGGCACCUCCAGAAGCGUUGCAUCAGGAUCCGCGCCUGUUCAAGGAGCGCCUCCCUCUGUCACAUAGGGAGGCGCGCCCGGCGCCCUCCUCGGGCAAGGCUCGGGGGCUCUCUCCUGGAGGGCCACCGACUUUGCCAAGGUCACGAGGGAGGCGCUCGGGCACCACUUGGAGGCAUGCUUCAAAGCACGUUUCCCUCAGGAAGGUAUGAGGCAAGGAGGGCCAAACCAUAAGGAGUUCAUCGCAAGAAACACUCAGGAGCUGCAGGAGUCAAGAGUCAUGCGCGGCAGCCGCCGCUUACCCGCCGUAGCCCCCCAUCUAUGCGAGGAUGGUGGGCUGCGCGUCUGCAUUGACGUGCCAGGGCUCAACUGAGCCGCGUCUCAGGAGCGCCUCUAUCCCUCGUGCGUAGGACGUUGCAAGGGUCCCACCCACAUCUACGUUCGCAUGCCCCUCGACCUACCAAACGCGGCCCUACUCAUCAGCGCCUGCUGAGGAGCAUUCUGGAGGCUCAGGAGGUCAGACAUUGCGCGGUCCUAGCAGAGAUGGAGAUGGUCCUCGAGGAGCCGCCUGCACCCCCGGAGCCUCCCGAGGCUCCUGGUCCCAGGAGCUCGUGAGGAUCGGCUUCCUCACCGCACUUCGUCUGCUACUUCAGCAUUCCUUCAUCUCCAACAUAUCAGGUGACAUCUUUCAAAGUUUCAUUUUCAGCUGGGAGCGCCCCCAGGGAUGCAUCAUUCCCAGGCCGCGUGGGUCCGUCCCUGUGGCAUGUAUCUCUUUUGUUCAUGUCUUUAGGUUACCUUGUUGGGGGCGCCCCUCGGGCUGCAUUAUCCCCAAGCCGCUCGGGCCUGACCCAGUGGCACGUAUCCCUCUCGCAUUCGUCUGAGCUAAUUUACUAUUCCAUGCUCAACCUGCCUGACUUAAUCGCCCUCUCGAUUGACACCAACCUUUGGAGUUGCUCUCCCUGGCAUGACGCUUGCGCAUGGGUCCGUCCCUGGAACAUCGAAAAACCUGAGCGGCUGAGCUCUGGCCGCGGUAGCCCCGCAAGGCGCCACCUCACCAGGCCCUCAGUGCCCCCAUAUCUCCCUCAAAGCAACCGGUGGCUGGCUGACAAUUGUAAUGGCAACUCUCGUUUUCCUUGUGGUGAGUUUACAGGGUCUCUCUAAGGGAUAGUGUCGGGCGAGGCCUUCGCGGUCUCUCUUCCUCUCUCGCCCGCACGAGCCGCUUGUGCGUUAAAGGGGGGGCACCUGAGCAUCGCGAUUCACGGGCUCUUACUGGCUCUCCAGCCCUCAACUCAUGGCCUUGAACACGGCAUCGCGACCUGGCAUACCAGCGACGGCUGAGAUCGCUCGAGGGCCGGGACCCGAGGACGUAGAGCACAAAGGAGAGUGCGAGGGAGAAGGAGGAAGCUCGCGAGGAUCUCACCGGGCAACUCCCCAGCUACAGACGCGUGGGUCUGGCGUCGCGCCGAGAAAUGGCCCCAAACUCCUGAGAUAAGUCGCCCUCUACGGAACUGCUAGCUAAUGCAACACCGACUAUGCACCUAAUGCGGCCCUGUAACGGCGAUGUUGUGCUCCUUUCUCACCGAGCGACGGCUGCUUGAGCGCCAAGGGGGACCUCCUGAGCAUCGCGCCUCAGGGGCUCUUACUAGACCUUGGGCCGCUCACCUCCUGGCCUUGACCACGGCAUCGCGACCUGGCAUACCAGCGAUGGCUGAAGCCUGCCUGGGGACCGGGACCUGUCGGCGUAGAGCACCAGGCCCUUGUGAGGUUAGAAAGGAGGAACCAAGCUGGGAUAGGACAAGCAUCUCACACUGCAUCACGAUAAGGAUCAUAUUAACAAAAGAGAAUACAGACGCUUUACAUGCCCCCACGGGGUACUUCCUUGAUUCCUCGCAGGAAACAAAAGACGCGAAUCCUAAAGAGCCCUAACUACAGGAGCCGCAGCAGCAGGCGCCAUCAUCAACAGUGGGCCACGUGGGGCCGGCGCCAACCCCAUCCAGAUCAACCACGCCGACCACCGGGCGCGCCGACUCCGCUCCGGGCGCGACGUGAGCUCGGGGGCUCAUAGCUGUUGUCGCUCGUCUCCGGAGUCAGGAGAAGUUUGGGGGAGUCGCUGGACCCUCCGGCACACCCGCUGCUACCGGAGGAGCUACUGGAAAAGCAGGCGGCAGGCCUAGCCCUCGCCACUCCAGAGCUCCGUCCGCUGUCUCUGGGGCAGCACUCCAGCCGGCAUCCUUCCGCAUCGAAGACCUUGAAGAGCAUCAGGGAGGCGCCAUCGUAUUCCAGAUGAAUCACGAGGGCGCCCCCGUUUGGCAGACCCUGGCGAUUUCGCCCCAGCCUCGGGUCAUGAAGACCUUGCUAGGGGCGACAACCUCGACCUCCGCUUUGGUCGCGGGGGUGCGGCAGUCGGCGUGCUGCAGCCAAAGCUCCCGAGGCCCCCUCGGCGGUAUCUCGAAGGAGAAGGAGGCAGGGAGGCGGAUCCAAGAGCUCAGAGGCAUGGCGGCGUGAAGCACGAGUUCACGGGAAGAGUUCGCAGUGUAGACUCCAGGGGGGACGACGGGCGUCGCAGUGAUCCGUCGGCGAUGCCGGUGACGCGGGAGACGCCGCUAGGUGCCCUCUUCCCCAGGGCCCUCGGCCUGGGCGUACAAGGGUAAUGGAUAUCCGGGAGGAGGCCGAUCGUACCAAGGCCUCGACGCCUCCUGCCGAGCACCCUCAUCUCAGCGGCAGGGGACUGGCCGCUUCUUCAGCGGGAGUAGGACAGGCCCCUCUCGGGGGGCCUUCCCUUUCUCUUCGGUCGAGAACCGGCGGAUCAGCGCCAUUAUCAUUGAAUUAGAGGAGGAGCGAAGAAGAAGAGGCGGAGCAAGGAGAGACGGAGUGGAAGGGCUUGCGCCGUUCCGUACUUAUAGCCGGAGGAGGCCAACCAUCGGCCUCCAUGAUCACAGGUAAUCAUGACCCGUUUUGCAUGCAGGGACUAGUCACGUCGGACGGUUGCCGAGGCGUCGUGGGGAAGCGGAGACGCCCAUGUCCAAUCAACCACCACACAAUGCCCAAGGCCGCAGGCUGUUGGGGCCCGUGGCGCUUCGCAGUUGCCCCUUUGCUUCUCUACUAAGCCAAGUCCGGACGCGCUUUGGGCCCGGGGGCUACUGUCAGCGUUCUGGGAACGGGGGUCCCCAGACUUGCCUACCUGCGGCCUGCGGCGUGGCUCAAGCAGUGGUCCAGUGCGGCCCACCUCCAUCAGCUCAAGCUCAAGACCCUCGCGAGGGGCCAAGCCUCGCGGGGCGGACGAUAGGAAGCUUCCUCAGGAGCAACCUCGUCAGGCAGGCUCGCGAGGAGGCAGAGAGAUCAAGGCAGGGGUACCUCGCGAGGUGCCCAUGACGCAAGCCAUGACGAUCAAGGCCAGGCGGGCGCCGGCCUGCGCAGUGUCCUUGUUUCCCCUUUGGUGCAAAGGGAGCAAGCACGGGCCAAGGCGUCAGGCAAAGGUUACCGUUUCGGUGCAACAAGACCAAGACCAGCAAAGCGGCAGGAUGGAGGUCACCAUGGAGCCCAAGACGGCGUCAUCGUCAGAGUAUUUGGCAGUCGAAGACCAACUUUAGUCAGGAUAAGUGUACUAGAUGUUCCCCUUCAAAAUGGCCAAUUAUUGGCGCCCUUCCCGCUCAAUAUUUGGGAAGAGGAAUGUCGGUGUCAAAACCAGCAGAUCUCGGGUAGGGGGUCCCGAACUGUGCGUCUAGGCGGAUGGUAACAGGAGACAAGGGACACGAUGUUUUACCCAGGUUCGGGCCCUCUUGAUGGAGGUAAAACCCUACGUCCUGCUUGAUUGAUAUUGAUAUUGUGGAUGUUUACAAGAGUGGAUCUACCACGAGAUCAAGGAGGCUAAACCCUAGAAGCUAGCCUAUGGUAUGAUUGUAAUGGUUGUUGUUGUUGUUCGGUCCUACGGACUAGAGCCAUCCGGUUUAUAUAGACACCGGAGAGGGCUAGGGUUACAUAGAGUCGGUUACAAUGGUAGGAGAUCUAUGUAUCCGUAUCGCCAAGCUUGCCUUCCACGCCAAGGAAAGUCCCAUCCGGACACGGGACAAGGUCUUCAAUCUUGUAUCUUCAUAGUCUUGGAGUCCGGUCGAUGAUGAUAGUCCGGCCGAUGAUAGUUCGGCCGAUGAUGGUAGUCCGGCUAUCCGGACACCCCCUAAUCCGGGACUCCCUCAGUAGCCCCUGAACCAGGCUUCAAUGACGAUAAGUCCGGCGCGUAUAUUGCUUGGCAUUGCAAGGCGGGUUCCUCCUCCGAAUGAUAGAAGAUUGUGAACACCAGGAUAGUGUCCGGCUCUGCAAAAUAAAUUCCACAUUCCACCGUAGAGAGAAUAAUAUAUACACAAGUUCAAUCUGCUGACGUUUUUUGCGGCAUGACGUCACGCCACUACCAAGCCAUUACUUGAAUCGUUUUUUAGUCUACCACCUCAGCGCAUUUAGCGAAGCGGUUUCCUUGGCACGUCUUGUCGAAGCAGAGAUCGUGUUCCCCCUUAAUCCGGGAUUCUCAUCAAUACGGACAUGGGUAACCCAACCGCGCCAUUGAUGGUGACGCUUGGGGGAUAAGCGAGUUUUACCAGGCCGGUGGGGAACGCGUAGACUUCGCCCGCCCAUAUAAGGGAUAAGGAUUCACCUUUUCACCUACACCUUCUUCCUCCUUUGCUUAUCCAUCUACGCGCACUCGAGCUCCAGCGCCCAAGCCCGCACAUCUCGUCUCAACCUUCCGCAGUCAUGUCUGGAGCGGGAGGCAAGUGGAUGACCUCCUCCGUUACGGAGGAGCACAUCGAAAGACUGCGCAGCGCCGGCUACCUGUCCGGCGACAUCGUGCACCGGCUGCCCGACGUGGGGCAGCUCAUCCCCACCCCGAGGCCCCAUGAGAGGGUCUUUUUCUUCCCCACUUCCUCCGCGGACUGGGCUUUCCACUUCACCCUUUUGUCCGGGGGCUCAUGUUCUACUACGGCCUGGAUUUCCAUGAUCUGGCGCCGAACUUCAUCCUCAACAUCUCGGUGUUUAUCGUCGUGUGCGAGGCCUUCCUCUGCAUCCAGUCCCACUUCGGCUUGUGGCUCAAGACCUUCAAUGUCAAGCCGAAGGUAGUGAAGGGCACUCAAGCGGCGUGCGGAGGCGCCAUGCUGGGCAAGAUGCCCAAUGUCCUUUGGUUCGAAGGGGCCUUCGUGGAAUCCGUCAAGGGGUGGCAAUCAGGGUGGUUCUAUAUCACCGAGCCGCGCGACCCUGCAUGGGCGGCGGCCCCCGAGUUCAAAUCUGGUAUCCCUACGCAGCUCACCUCCUGGAAAGAGAAGGGCUUGCUGUGGGGUAGUUCGGAGGAGCUGACGGGACUCCAAGCCUGUAUCCAGAAGCUGGUGAAGAAGCUCAGGCUGGUUAACAUGGUCCAAGUCAUGCUCAUCCGCCGGAUUCUCCCAUGCCAAGAGCGGGCAUUCAAUCUGUGGGAGUUCGAUCCGGAACAGCAUCAGGCGCUGAGCGGGCUCUUCGACACGACGUACGAAGGCGCCUAGAGGGUGCUGUUUAAGGGCGCCGAAGCCCCCGCAUCCGUGACUGAAGAUCGCGGAUUUCGCUCGCAGCGCCAAGCCGACGAGGUAAGUGAUUCUACCCCUUUACGGGACAUUUACUUUUCAUAGUUUGAUUCUAUGCGGGUUUUAAUUUCCCCUUUUCCUUUGACAGGACUGGAUGAGGAAGGCGGAGCAGAUUAUCUGCCUGGCUCCUAUGCCAGAAAACCCAGUAGACGCCCGUCUAGCGAGGCUGCUGGUUCCGGCACCGCACAUGGUGCCGGAGAAGAAGGCCAAGAAGGAGGCCACGGGUGCUCGAAAGAGUUCCCGUUUUCAGGUGUCCGACGACUCCGGGGCGGACUCCUCCCCCGAAAACGAGGAGGAGAAAGAGGACUCUCUCCCAGAGGAGGGAGAGAGGAAGAGGAAGGCUUCCCCAACAGGGGAGGCCGAAGGGUCCAAGAGGGGAAGGACUAUUCCCCCGGACAGCUCCGCCAACAUCAACGUUGGCGAGGAAGAAUGGCCUUCAAGGGCCAGGACUCCAGCGAGAACGUAAGUAUCCGGAUUCCUGAAUGAUUUAUAAUUUCUUUUUCUGCGUCAUAUAGUGUCAUUCUGAUGCCGCAUGCUGCCUGUAGUCCAGCCAAUGAUGAUCUCCCCGCUUCAUCGAGCGGGUCGUUGGCUCCGUCGGAUGUAGACUCCAUCCCGACCGCCUCCACCCCUCGCGACACCGAGGACGCCGAGGUGGGAUCCCAAGAAGGGACCCAUCAGGGGGAGGCUCCGGAGGCGCCACAAGGCGACCUCCCGGACUUUGCGCCGGCCUCCACAUCAGAACCCGCAGUGGUUUCGGAGUCCGGCCGGCGGCCUCUUUGCACGAAGGGCAAGACUGUGACGCCGGCGGCUUCCGUCCAACCGAAGGCGCCGGACAAUUUGUUGGAGGCGCUCCAGAGCGCUUUCAUCGAGGAAGAACACCGCACUAUUAUGAGUGCGGUGAUUCAGAAGGUACAGCUUGCCAAGAGCGGGCUGACCGAAGCCUGCAGUAGCCUUCUAUUAGGCUUUGAGGUAAGAAGUUAAAAAUAUGCAAUGUAAUACCGCAUAGACAGUAGCCCCUGAUGCUCAGUUCGGUGUUCGGAAAGAAAAGCCGGACUGAGGAUCUGGAAAAAAAAAGAUAUACGCAGGGUUGCUAAAAAAUUAUGUCAAUAUGGGUUGCAAGUUGCGCUGCUGACCUCUGCCGCACUGACUGCGGAGGUCGGUGCUUUGAAGCAGGAGCUCGAGCGGUCUGAGCAAGAGCUCGGCCGUGCCAAGAAGCAGCUCCAGGACAAAGAAGGUGAGUAACACCACUUUGAACUUGUACCUUACAGAAAAGGAUUUAGGUUGCAACAAAAAAUAACAAGGAUAACAUGGGUACUGCAGGGGCCACGAACGAGGUGGCGACCCUGAAGGAGGCCGUGUCCGCGGCCGAACACAAUGCGGCCGCGGAACGGGUAGAGCGAGAAAAGCAGGAGGCGCGGGUGGCGGUGGUUCGGCAAGAGCUCCAGGCUCUCAUGGAAAAGCAUGAGAGUUUGGAGCGUGACUCAAAGACUAGAGAGUCCGAGCUUGCCUCGGCUCUCGAAAGUGCCAAAACUGCCAAGGCUGAUGCCCAUAAGUCCCUUCAGGAGAUUGAGUUGGUGAGGAAGAUAGCGGCGGAUAAGGCAUUUUUCAUGCAAAGCAAGCAUGUGAAUGUAAAUUACGUGUUACUUACCCGAAUUCGGAGCUCUCCAGGGGCGUUUGCAGAUCUGCCUCGCAGUGUGUCUGAUGCCGCCGCAUUCUACCGAGCUGAGGAGGGGAGCUCAACGGAGAAGGUCUUCUGGUCUCAGUAUGCUGAGGCCGGCCAUCCGGUGCCCCCUAGCAACCAGCAGAAGCAGCUGGUCGAGCUCCACAAGGUGGCCGAGCAGGCCAUGAAGGGCCUCAUAGUCCGGCUGUGGCCUGGAGAGGCCAUGCCUAGGAGCUACUUCGGCCUCGUGCGACGGUUGGUGGAUGCGUGCCCCUGGGUGGAGGUUAUCAAGCGCUCCGCCUGUAUUGAAGGUGCUCGUCGGGCCCUUGCCCGCGCAAAGGUGCAUUGGGGCAAGCUGGAUGCAGAGAAGCUAAUUACUGACGCGCCACCAGCAGGCAAGGAAUAUUGUACGCCCGAGAUGUACUAUAAGACUGUCCUGAAAGGUGCCCGCAAGAUUGCGGAUGAGUGCCCCAGGGAUGUAAUUAUUGAGUAAAUUCGCAAUGUGUUAUCCUGUGCGCUGAAAACUUUGUUCAUAUGUGCUAAGCAACGCUUGUUAAUUUAAAAUAUUACCUUAUGUGCGGCCGUUUAAUAAAUCUGAGAGAUGGCAAGUCGUCGGCUUCAGCCCCCAUGCCACGAGUGCUGGGGUGUUUGGGAUAAACUUGAGCACUCUUGUUCCCAUUUUUGGGUCCAUCUAGGGAGGCGCUCAACACAACGAACAAGGCAACCGGACUUAUAGUGCUUGAACACUCUCACUUAGUCAUAGAAUUCUAUAAUUUUAAAUUUCGGCGAAGCCCCUAGUAUUCGGAAGACCGAAUUCGGGGCGCUACCCACGCCUUCGUCGGACAUUAUCCGGUACUUCGCUCGAAGCGGCGUAGGUCUUUAAGGACCCGAAAAAGACCUCUUGAACAGCGACCAGUCUCUCGCCUUAUCAUGACAGUCAGUUUUAGCUUUCUCCACUGAGGCGUUAACCCGGCUCAACCGGGGCGCAAUCGCAGUGAUUCUCCCAGUGCUACCUUAGCCGAUAGAACAGAAUGUAAGGUGCCAAACAUGGGAGCCGGGCAAACCCAACUAUUGACCCAAGACAUGAUUCGGAGCCGAUUCAUAUAAUGCUAUAAGUUCGGGGUGCCGCACUUGGUGAAGUGUUCAGACUUUAUCACACCAUAAUGCGGGGAACAUAAGCCCCUGGUGUAUUUGGCCGUACCAAAAUGUACGGAUGCAACAUGUCGUAAAUGAACAUAUAUAUAUAAGGUAAUGCAAUUAUGGGCAAAAGGUGCUGCAUUUUAUUCGAGAAGAUCUGCUAUGAGUGCAGAAUGAUACAAAUAGUGCGGAAAGCAAGGGAUUGGACGAAUUAAAGGCGUCUCCCUCCAGGGGUAGGCCGCAGAAUGGUGUAUUCAACAAAUUUAAUGCUCGUAAUGGAGACCACCUGAGUGUUCGUCGCAGCCUUUGUCCCUCCCUGGCUGUUGCAUCAUGAGUUCGGCAGGUUCGCCGCCGGACAGAGUUCUGUAUAAAAAAGAGAGAAAUAAAAGAUAAAAGGAGCGACACACUUGGGAGCCCCUGGUGUGGUCGAACCGCACUCUGGGUCUGUUGUGGUUGUGCCUCUCCCCCUAUGCCCAUGGUAUCUCCAGGGCGUAAUUAUGUACGCGGAGAGUUUGUCUUACAAUUGUGCGAGGGCUGGGGUUGAGGCCGCAUUGCUACGCGUGCUCGGAACGUGCCAGGUGGUCUUGGUUGAUGUUGCUCCGGGCGCGUUUGGCCGUGUCCGGUCGUUUGACGGCCGGACUCAAAAAUUGCCUUAAAAGGCUGCUCUGUACUUCUGCCGCAAGAGCCGCUGUAUGUUCCUCCGUUCGGAGGGAGCGUUCCAUGUUUCCAUUGACCGUGAUGACUCCACGAGGGCCUGGCAUCUUGAGCUUAAGGUAUGCAUAAUGCGGCACCGCGUUGAAUUUUGCGAAUGCGGUUCGUCCGAGCAGAGCGUGAUAGCCACUGCAGAACGGGACUAUGUCGAAGAUUAACUCCUCGCUUUGGAAAUUAUCCGGGGAUCCGAAGACCACUUCCAGUGUAACUGAGCCUGUACAACUGGCCUCGACACCUGGUAUGACGCCUUUGAAGGUUGUCUUUGUAGGUUUAAUCCUUGAAGGGUCUAUGCCCAUCUUGCGCACUAUAUCCUGAUAAAGCAGGUUCAGGCUACUGCCGCCGUCCAUCAGGACUCUCAUGAGGUGAAAUCCAUCGACGAUUGGGUCUAAAACCAAUGCGGCGAAUCCGCCAUGGCGGAUACUGGUCGGAUGGUCUCUUCGAUCGAAAGUGAUCGGGCAAGAGGACCAUGGGUUGAAUUUUGGGGCGACUGGCUCCAUCGCGUAUACGUCCCUUAGUGCAUGCUUUCGCUCCCUCUUGGGUAUAUGCAUUGCGUAUAUCAUGUUUACCGUCCGAACUUGAGGGGGGAAUCCCUUUUGUCCUCUGUUGUUCGGCGGCCGGGUCUCUUCCUCGUCAUCGCUGUGUAGCCCCUUGUCAUUGUUUUCGGUGAUUAAUUUGCCUGCCUGCUUGAAUACCCAACAAUCUCUGUUGGUGUGGUUAGCUGGCUUUUCGGGGGUUCCAUGUAUUUGACAAGAGCGGUCGAGUAUUCGGUCCAAAUUGGACGGGCCCGGAGUGGUUCUUUUGAAUGGCUUCUUCCGUUGACCGGGCUUGGAGCCUCGGAAUCCGGCGUUGACUGCCGUAUCCUCAUUGCUGUCGCCGUUAAUGCGGCGUUUGUUUUUGUUUCGACGCGACCUGCCAUUGCGGUCCUUGGUAUCCGGACUGCCAGCGUUUUUGCUGAGGUUGUUGCUGCGAGCUAGCCAGCUAUCCUCUGCCGCACAGAAGCGGGUCAUGAGUGAUGUGAGGGAUGCCAUGGAUUUCGGCUUUUCCUGUCCUAGGUGCCGGGCCAGCCACUCGUCGCGGAUGUUAUGUUUGAAGGCAGCGAGGGCCUCUACAUCCGGACAGUCGACGAUUUGAUUUUUCUUUGUUAAGAACCGUGUCCAGAAUUGCCUGGCCGAUUCGUCUCGCUGCUGGAUUAUGUGGCUUAGGUCAUCUGCGUCCGGUGGUCGCACAUACGUGCCCUGGAAGUUGUCGAGGAAUGCGGCUUCCAGGUCUUCCCAGUAUCCAAUUGACUCUGCGGGCAGGCUGUUAAGCCAAUGCCGAGCUGGUCCUUUAAGCUUGAGCGGGAGAUAUUUGAUGGCGUGAAGAUCGUCGCCGCGGGCCAUAUGUAUAUGGAGGAGAUAAUCCUCAAUCCAAACCGCGGGGUCUGUUGUGCCAUCGUAGGAUUCGAUAUUAAAGGGUUUAAACUCUUCAGGGAUUUGAUGAUCCAUUACUUCGUCAGUGAAGCAUAGUGGGUGCGCGGCGCCUCUGUAUUGAGCAAUAUCGCGACGUAGCUCAAUAGAGCGUUGUCUGCUGUGUUCGGCCCGGCCGGAGUAGUUGUAUCCAGCGCGAUGGUAUUCGUCGUGGGUCUUGGGGCGCCCACAUGAUCCAUAGAUAGAUUAGGAUUGUCUUGCCUUGUCCUCCAAUAUAUCCUGCAAGGCCGGCCCGUUCCCCCGUGGCUUCAUGCUUUUUGAGCGAUGUCGGGGUACGUGUUUGGUGGAGGGCUUGCAUGCCUCUCUGUCGCGGCCACGAGGUGGUCGGUCUGCCGUAUUGUGCGCUCGUGAUGCAGGUUUGUACGCUUCCUCCUCUAGUCGGGGGAGCAACUUGCAUUUUGGGUAACUUUUGGAGGGGCAUUCGAGUUCAUACUCUUCGGCCGCGAGGACCUCGGUCCAUCUAUCGGCCAGUAGGUCUUGAUCAGCUUGAAGCUGUUGCUGCUUUUUCUUUAGGCUGUUUGCCAUGGCCAUUAGCCUGCGUCUGAAACGCUCUUGUUCGACAGGAUCCUCAGGCACGACGAAUUCGUCGUCGUUGAGGCUUGCCUCGUCUCCGGAGGGAGGUAAGUAAUUAUCAUCCUCGACCUCUUCGUCUGCCGCCCUCUCGUGAGGGCUUGCUUCUGCCUCCUCCUGCACUGGAUCGUGCUGGAGGGGGUUGUCUUCGGCACUUUCUGGGGUGUUAUUAUCUCCUGUGCCGGAAUCUCCAUUCUUGCUGUGGCGGGAUUUAGAGCGGCGCCGCUGACGUCGGUGCUUGGGCUGUUUCUUUAAGGAAUCGGCCUCCGUUGCUUCUUCGCCGUCCCCAUCUUUUGGGGUGUCCACCAUGUAUAUGCCGUAUGACGAGGUGUUCUUCCAGUGUCCUGUAGGCACUGGUUCUUGAUAGUCUGAUGUCUUUGGAGUCGUAGUCGAGUACGUCGGUUAGAUCGUCGACGGUGGCUACAAAGUGGGUGGUGGGUGGGCUCUGAAUUUCUUCGUCGUCCGCGUCCCAACCAUCCUAGCCGUAGUUCAGCCAGGGCUCUCCGGAUAGCGAGAGAUGCUUCAGCGAAUUUAAGAUAUCGCCGAAGGAUGAGUGCUGAAACAUGUCCACAGUGGUGAAUUCCAUGAUUGGCGCCCAAUCGGAUUUGACUGGCAGGGGCGCGGGAGGUUCGGAGUCCGACAGAGAGUCCGGCACCUCGGAGUCAUGAGCUUUAUGCGGGACAAGGUAAGUGUUCGGCUCCAUCGCCUAGAAGUUGCAGCUCCCGAGGCGGUGUCCAGCCAUCCGUCCUUGAUCUGAGCGAUCGGCUCCGGACUAUGGGUCGGAGCGGAUUCGUGUGCGGCCUCCAAGGUGCUGUCCGGCGGCAGAGUUAGGUCGUGCCCAUCGUGACAGCGCGGCACGCUCGGCUGUGGCUCAGAUCCAUCGAAGAUCAAGUCCCCGCAGAUAUCGGCCGUGAAGUUUAGGCUUCCAAACCUGACCUGACGGCCAGGGGCGUAGCUUUCGAUCUGCUCCAGAUGGCCAAGUGAGUUGGCCCGCAGUGCGAAGCCGCCGAAUACGAAGAUCUGUCCGGGGAGAAAAGUCUCACACAGGACUGCGUCGUUGUCGAUUGAACAGGCCAUCAAGCCUAUCGGUGACGACACAGAGGACUCUCAAUGAAAGCACCAAUGUCGGUGUCAAAACCGGCGGAUCUUGGGUAGGGGGUUCCGAACUGUGCGUCUAGGCGGAUGGUAACAGGAGACAAGAGACACGAUGUUUUACCCAGGUUCAGGCCCUCUUGAUGGAGGUAAAACCCUACGUCCUGCUUGAUUGAUAUUGAUAUUGUGGACGUUUACAAGAGUGGAUCUACCACGAGAUCAAGGAGGCUAAACCCUAGAAGCUAGCCUAUGGUAUGAUUGUAAUGGUUGUUGUUGUUGUUCGGUCCUACGGACUAGAGCCAUCCGGUUUAUAUAGACACCAGAGAGGGCUAGGGUUACAUAGAGUCGGUUACAAUGGUAGGAGAUCUACGUAUCCGUAUCGCCAAGCUUGCCUUCCACGCCAAGGAAAGUCCCAUCCGGACAUGGGACGAGGUCUUCAAUCUUGUAUCUUCAUAGUCUUGGAGUCCGGUCGAUGAUGAUAGUCCGGACGAUGAUAGUUCGGCCGAUGAUGGUAGUCCGGCUAUCCGGACACCCCCUAAUCCGGGACUCCCUCAAGGACCAAGGUCUCUCUAUAUAUAGGACUAGCCACCACAGAAGAAAGGGAUCCGGGACCAAAACCCUUCCAAAGGGGCAACACCACCACAAGAACAUCCCUCGCGAGGUUGUUCUUCCUUUGUAUUAUCAGCCCCUGAGGCAACCCACCACACCACACACUAGACUAGGGUAUUACACCAUAAUGGUGGCCUGAACCAGUAUAAACCUCGUGUCCCCUGUGUGUUCAUCUUCCUAGCCUAGAUUCUUUGCGAGGCUGCGAGACGUGAGUUGGUAGGGGAGAGAUCUUCACGCGCACCCCAGAUUUCGAACCUCAAGGGUCUGCCGGAACCCGAAAUCCGACAACGCCUCACGCACAAGGGCUGGUGUAUGGGCAUUUGCCAUCUCGCCCACACGCCUGUCUCCUCUCCCACACCCAAUCUGCUAGUUGCCAUGUGUUUUGCAGCAUACAUGGCUACUGCCCCUAGUGUGCUUGUAAGCAGAUGGCAACUCUCUUUUUUUACCCGAACAUGUCAGUUGCCAUGUGUUUUGCAGGGUACACGGCAACUGCCUAGUGUGCACAUGAGCAGAUGGCAAUUCUCUUUUACCCGAGUUGUCAUGUGUUUUUGCAUGGUACAUGGCAACUGCCCUAGCGUGCACGUAAGCAGAUGGCAACUCUUCCUUUUACAUGGCAACUGCCCUAGCGUGCUUAUGAGCACAUGGAAACUCUCUCAACUGCCUAGUGUAGGUGGCAACUCCUAAAGUUUUAAAAUCAUGGCAACUGCAGUAGACCAGACCAUACUUGGCAACUACAGUUGAGCAACCAUGGCAACUGUAGUUGUCCAACAUGGCAGCUGUAGUUCAGCGACAUGGGAACUGUAGUUAACUGAACACGGAAGAGUGUCCAGACCAUGGCAAAUGCGGGACGCUGGUGACUAUCACGCGGGGAGUGCGAGGCCAUAAGGUAGGAGGCCUGAAGUAUGGGUGUGUGUGUGUUAUCUAUUUUGCCCACACGCAGGCAUGUAAAAGGUACCGCGAGGAAAAAAAGAAGCAUGUAGGCAUUACUUGUUUUGCCCACAUGUAGGCGUGUGGGCUGAUCCUUUUAAACCCCACACAAACUGUGUGGGCAGACCCCUUAACGCCCACACGUGUGGCCGUUAUCAGCGUCCUUUUUUAUAUGUAUUUUGCACCACUUUAUAGAAAACUUAAAUUCAAACAUAUCACAUCAACAAUUGACCAUCUAGAACUGCAUUUAGGGAAAUGGAAUACAAAUAUUGAAUCCACAAGAGAUGUAUGAAUGACGGUCUAGUUAGCCAUAUGUCGAUGCCGGAAUGUUUUAAUGGUAUUUGAAAUAUGUUUGGACAGCAUUACCUACAUUUUUAAGGCAUGAGAAUUUUCCAAAGAUAUGACUAAAAUCUAGCGAUGCAUUAUAAUUUCCUAGGAAAUCCUUACCAAUUAAUAAUAAUCGUACACAGGAAUUUCAUGUGAAUCCUAGAAGGCAUCACAUUCUUUCGUUCCGGAGGAUUAUAUAGGAUCUUUCUAUAAAGUAGAGUGUUUUGGUGGCCGAGCUCCAUGAAGGCCGAUUUUUUAAUUUAAAAAAAUCAAAGUUAAAACUUUUUAGUUAAAAAAACUAAAAUAUAUAUACACGUAUAUAAGGAUGUAAUAUAUAUAUAUAUAUAUAUAUAUAUAUUCAAAAAGGGGGUUUACCCCAGCCUCUGCAUCAGAAAGAUGCAUACGGCUCAUAUUAUUAAAAAUAAAGUCCAGCAACAAAGUCGUCAAGUAUCGAGUUGCGAAGAUAAACAAAAGGCUCAAAAGAGCUCUAACCCAAAGCCACAACCGGCUGGCAAACACAAUAGGAUCACUACAUGCCUAUCCUAUUACAUGACCGCCAUCCAAACCGGUUGAAAAUAUCCCGCGCUACCAUCUCCCAUCGGGUAGACGCAGUAACCAAACGCUCCCUGGCCUCCGUCGGGGUGAGUAGCGACCACAUAUGGAUGAAUGUCGUGGCCCUGAAGAUAACCUGCAAAAAGUGAAUGUUUGUUGAUCUGUUAAAUACUAAAUCAUUUCUGCAAUUCCAUACUGCCCAAAGUAAAGCACAAACGCCAACACGAAUGUGUCUUGGAGUAUCGGAAUCAACCCCAUCAAGCCAUGUUCCAAAUAACAUGUUGAUAGAGGUGGGCUGAUUAAUAUUGAACGCAAUAUGAAUCGACCGCCACAGAAUCUUAGCCAACGAACAAUCGAGAAAGAGGUGUUUGAUGCUUUCGUUAUGAUCGCAAAACCUACACCUAGAUGAGUCCACCCAGUUGCGUUUUGCCAGGUUAUAGUCAAAAUGACUUGUUUAUGCAUAAACCACAUAAACACUUUGAUACGUAAGGGAACCUUUACUUUCCAAAUGUGAAUCGAGGAAGGGGCAGCGCUAGAGUUAAUGACAUCCAGAUACAUAGAUUUAACCGAGAACACACCGUUCUUAGUAAGUUUCCAAUACAGCUGAUCUGGUUGCUGGGUCAGCCGGACCUCCAUUAAACGUCUAACGAGGUGGAGCCAGGCCUCCCAACGAUUUCCAACUAGCGUUCUCCGAAAACUAAUAUUGAGGAGAGUGGAUUGUAGAACAGUUGUAAUGGUAGGCUUCUCUACGUCGCACAAUGUUGUACAAAGUAGGAUAUUAAAGUGCAAGGGGAGUCUCCCCAAGCCACGUAUCCUCCCAAAACCUCGUAGUGGCACCAUUCCCGACAAUAAAUUUUGACUUGUUGAAAAAAAAUGUUUGACUCUCAUCAAACCCUUUCAAAAAGGUGAGUCAGAAGGCCUCACAUUUACCUGAGCCAAGGUUUAGCAUAAAGAUACUUAUUACGCAAAAUCUGUGCCCAAGUAGCUUCCGUCUCAGACGACAGUUUAGAUAGCCACUUGCUAAGGAGACAUAUGUUUUUGACUUCCAAAUUUUCAAUACCUAUACCCCCUUGGUCCUUCGGCCUACAGAUUAUAUCCCACUUAGCAAGCCUUAACUUUCAUUUGAGCUCGUCAUUCUGCCAAAAGAAUCGAGAUCGGUAGAAAUCUAAUCUUUUCCUGACUCCCACCGAGACCUGGAAAAAAGAUAAGAGAAACAUAGGCAUACUGGUAAGGACCGAAUUAAUCAGAAUCAAUCGUCCUCUAUAUGACAUGAGCUUCCCUUUCCAACAGCUCAGUUUCUUUUCAAAGAGAUCCUCGAUGCAUUUCCACUCAAGGUUAGUCAGCUUACGAUGAUGAAUGGGUAUACCUAAGUACAUAAACGGUAAGGAGCCCAAUUCACAUCCGAAAAAUUGUUUAUACGUAUCCUGGUCCUCCUUUGCUCUUCCAAAGCAAAACAAUUCGCUCUUGUGGAAGUUAAUUUUGAGGCCAGAUAAUUGUUCAAAUAAGCAUAACAGCAGCUUCAUGUUUCUUGCUUUCGCCAGGUCGUGCUCCAUAAAGAUGAUUGUCGGUGUAAAAACUGGCGGAUCUCGGGUAGGGGGUCCCGAACUGUGCGUCUAGGCGGAUGGUAACAGGAGACAAGGGACACAAUGUUUUACCCAGGUUCGGGCCCUCUUGAUGGAGGUAAAACCCUACGUCCUGCUUGAUUAAUAUUGAUGAUGUGUGUUACAAGAGUAGAUCUACCACAAGAUCAAGGAGGCUAAACCCUAGAAGCUAGCCUAUGGUAUGAUUGUUGUUCAUCCUACGGACUAAAGCCAUCCGGUUUAUAUAGACACCGGAGAGGGCUAGGGUUACACAGAGUCGGUUACAAUGGUAGGAGAUCUACAUAUCUGUAUCGCCAAGCUUGCCUUCCAUGCCAAGGAAAGUCCCAUCCGGACACGGGACGAAGUCUUCAAUCUUGUAUCUUCAUAGUCUUGGAGUCCGGCCGAUGAUGAUAGUUCGGCUAUCCGGACACCCCCUAGUCCAGGACUCCCUCAGUAGCCCCUGAACCAGGCUUCAAUGACGACGAGUCCGGCGCGCAUAUUGUCUUCGGCAUUGCAAGGCGGGUUCCUCUUCCGAAUAAUCUACAGAAUAUUGUAAACGCCAGGAUAGUGUCCGGCUCUGCAAAAUAAAUUCCACGUACAACCGUAGAGAGAAUAAUAUUUACACAAGUUCAAUCUGCUGACGUAUUUGGUGGCGUGACAUCACACCACUACCAAGCCUUUACUCGAAUUGUUUUUAUUGUACCACCCCAGCGCGUUUAGCGAAGCGGUUUCCUUGGCACGUCUUGUCGAAGCAGAGAUCGUGUUCCCCUUAUUCCGGGAUUCUCAUAAAUACGGACGUGGGUAACCCGACCGUGCUUGUUGCCGCGCCCCCUCCAUCGAAGGCGGGUUCCAAACGGUCACGGGGACGGCUCUUGGUAUUCUUCCUCUUUAUAAUGAGACCAAGGCCCGUUCUUUUUCUUCAAUCCUCAAUCGAAUCCGCCCCUCGCCCCGAGUUCCAACACCCAGGGCUCCAGAUUCGGGUACCUUCGACCUUUGACAAUGUCCGGCUCCGACCUACGAGGCCGGUGGAUGCCCUCUUCCGUCACGGAAGAAGACGUGCUAAAGCUGAGAGACGCCAGGUAUUUGACCUACGAGAUUUCGCAUAGGUUGCCUGCCCGAGGGCAAAUUAUUCCUACUCCCGAGCCCGGCGAGAGCGUCGUGUUCGUGUCUCACCUCCGUUGGGGUUUAGGCUUCCCGAUGGAUCCCUUCGUGAGGGGGCUCAUGUUUUACUAUGGGCUGGAAUUCCAUGACUUGGCUCCGGUGUCCAUCCUCCACAUCUCAUCAUUCAUUGUCGUCUGCGAAGCCUUCCUCCGCAAUACCCCUCACUUCGGCUUGUGGCUCAAAACCUUCAACAUGGAGCCGAAGAUGAUUGAGGGGUGUCAGGCAGAGUGCGGCGGGGCGGUUAUAAGCAAGAGGGCCGAUGCUCCAUGGCCCGAGGGCUCUUUUCAGGAGGAGCUCGGCUUGUGGUAACAGGAGUGGUUCUAUAUCACCGCUCCCAGGGGCAGCAGGCAGAGGCCGCCGCCCGUCUUCCGCUCGGGCCCUCCACAACAGUUGACGUCAUGGGUCAACAAGGGGCGUGACUGGGGGUCGUCCAAAGACGUACCCCUAUUGCAGGACCGGAUUCGAGGCCUCCAAGAAAGGGAGAUCAAUCUGGUCAUAGUGGUACAGGUUAUGCUGAUCCGGUGCCUACUGCCCUGCAAACGUCGCCCCCUCCGCCUGUGGGAAUUUAAUCCGGAGGGGCCACGAGCUCUUCAACACUUCAUGGGUUUGACACCCGCGGAGAUGUACUAACUAUUCUUCGGAUCGCAAGAGAUGCAUCCGGACUUGACCGAGGAUGCUGGCCUAAGCUGCAAUCGCCCGGAUACUCAAGUAAGUAGCCCUGUGUCCGAACACAUCAUCCAUUUAUUUAUCGUGGAUUUGCCUUUUAACCAGCUAUCCCUUGGACAGGAGUGGAUAGCGCAAGCAAAACUGAUACGGUGUCCGGCCCCCCUCCCUUAGACCAUGCAGGAUCCCGUGUUAAUCAACAUGUUGGAGGUUGCACCUUCGGAGGAGGGCGAAGGGGGGCACAGGGGAACUACCACCUCUGCCACGGAGGCUUUCAGUAAGGGAGGAAUCGAGAGUCCCUCCUUCCAGGGGGAGAAGAGGACCGCUUCCGAAGACCCGGAGGCCAAGGCCUCAAAGCGGGGAAAGAAAUCUGUACCGGAAGGUCCUGUGCCGGGAAGAGCCCCGGCCGUACUGUCUCCUCGGAGGAAUCAGCCCUCCAGUGAGCCGUAAGUAAAAAAGGGGGAAUUUUGUAAUAGGGAACGCCCCUAUAUUAUUUCCAAAGGUAACCGAAGUUUUCACCUUGUAGUUCGGAUCUCAGCCCAUCUCAGCAGAGCUCAACUUCGGGGGACCUUCGUCCGGAGAUGAUGGAGAGCGAGACGGCUCCAUCUGCCGCCCCGUCUGGCAGGGCGGACAACCCUGAGGUGUCAUCACGGAGGGUCUCCCCAAGUCCGGCACCCAUUGGGGUACGGCCGGUGGAGCUGCAUGAUUUGCUCAAGAGGGCGUCUAUCUCAGAAGAUCACCGCACGUUAAUGAGUAUGGUGAUUGAGAGGAUCUCGUCCGCCGAAAGCGGGUUGUGUGAGGCCGUCAGAAGUUUGCUAACGGGGUUUGAGGUACGCAAAAAAUGACAUACCUUUUGACAGUUUUGCACAUGAAGUGUGCCCUGUAUAGAUAGUAGCCCCUGAGACUUGGUAUGUUGUCAAAAGCGACAGCAUGCCGAGGAUCAUAAUCUCAGUUAUAGAUUGUCUCCUUUCCUAUGCAGGUGGCGGAACGUUCGGUGGCCAGCCGGACUGAUGGAUUUGCCGAGCUGAAGAGGCAACUCGACGUUGCGGAUGCGGACAUCUUGCUGGUCAAUAAACGACUUGAUGAGUCACAAGGUAUGUGGUUGCUCUGCGGUCGCCUAGUAAGGGAGCUAACGCCCAUUCCUUACAAUUUGUAUGCUUGAUGCAGAUGGUGCUGCUGUUGUGGAAGACCUUCGAGCAGAGCUUGCUCGGGCCAAGGAGCAAGCCAAAAAAAGUGAGGCGGUUGCCUCGAAGGCAGCAGAAGAUCUAGAAGCCGAGAAGGCUGCUCACUGCCGAAGCAGGGAGGAGAUGGCCGGAAUGGCCGCGAAGUUAAAAGAUGCUACCGACCGCCAGGAGGUUCUUGAAAGAGAACGCCGAGCGGAGCAAGAGGACCUGAAGAAGGCCGACGCCGAAGCCAAGGAUGCACGUAGUGCGAUGCGGGCUAUGAAGGAGGAACUGCGUCAGGUCGGAGACAUUGUGGCUGCAAAGCCCUUUAUGCUGCGUAGGAAGUUCAUGGAUCCGAAGUAUGCUUAGCUGGGCCGAUUGUGCGGUGCAGAGGAUCCUUAUCUGGAUUUGGCGGCGAGUGCGGCGGACGCAGUCGUGCACUUCCGAAGCCAGAAGGAUCACGAAAUGGAAGAGCUUUUCUGGUCUUAAUUCCAUAGUCCGGAGCGUCCACUUCCGUUGAGUGAUCGGCUGGUUGAGUGGGCUGAGCUGAAUAGAUUGUCUGGACUUGCCAUGACGGAUGUGGUCGCUCAUCUGUGGCCGGAAAGGCCCAAGCUGAAGAGUUAUUUUGGCUUGUUGCAGCAAUUCCUUGGGGCGGUGCCGCAUAUCGGGGCGAUGAAGCGGUCGGCAUGCAUAGAAGGUGCACGGAUGGCUCUCGCCCGUGUUAAGACAUACUGGGCAGAGAUGGAUGCCACCGCUGUUGCAUCCCGGGGUUCGGACAAAAGCCGAUUCCCCACCGAGCACUAUUUUGAGGAAGUCCUGCAGGGCACUCGUUUAAUAGAGUCGCAGUGCUCGAAAGAUGUUAUGUUUAAAUGACAUGUAUGAUUUCUGAGAUCAUGUUUAUAAUGCAAUAGCUUUUUAUACUUGUGCGUUCAAGUAUUGAACUAUCUCCUGUGCGGCCGUAUAUGUAUGUAUAAUCUGAAAGAUGGCAGUCUUUGGCUUCAGCCCCCACGCACAUGGUGCGGGGGUGUUUGCAAAAAGAAAAGCGCUUUUUCACACUUAAUCCAAUGUCUUGGUCCUUUUAAGGAGGUGAUAGCAUAGCAAACUAGGCAACCGGACUAUAAUGCUUUAUCACUUUCACUUAGCCAUAGGAGCUUGAAUGUGGGGCUACUAUAUAGCCCCUAGCGGCACCGCUCUUCUCUGAACUUGGGGCGCGUAUGUGCCUGACCGGGAAGCGGUCCUUCGUCAAAGCGGAGGAAUUCUAAACAUUCCAAUGGUCGAUCGAGUGGUUGACCAGUCUCUCGCUAUAUCAUGACAGUCAGUUUUCGGCUUUCUCUACUGAGGUGCUCGCCCGGCCGAACCGGGGCACAAUCGCAGUAGUUCUCCUGGUGCCGUGUUAGCCAAUGGAGCGGAACAUAAGGUAGCAAAACACAGGAGCCGGGCAAACCCAACAUUUGACCAAAGACAUGAUUCGGAGCUGAUGCAUAUAAGGCCUAACUCGAGACGCCGAACACUCCCUGAGGUGUUCGGUCUUUAUGAUACCGGGCAGAACAAUGCCCAAAGCCCCUAGUGUCCAGGUACAGGCGGGAACUUCUGACGUGGCCCAUGCCAAAACGUCAGCCUCCUCCUCGGCUAUGGUAGGAAACCGGGGGAUGUGUAUCAACAAGAGACAGUAAGAAAGGUUUACACAGGGUCUUAAUCUGAAAAGAAUCCUUGCAACGGGUCCCUGCUGCAUGUCUGCGCCUGUGUCUCCGUUGUGCUGUAUCCUGGACGGGUGUAGCACGUGCUUCAUCUGUAAAAGAGAAGGACUUAGUUUCCAAGAAAUAUCGUGCAAAAGUUGUAUUAAAAUAAAGUAUAAUUUGGAAGAUGAAGAAAGUUGAGCUUUAUUGGCUCUCAUCAUUUAUACGCACGGCCCCUUAUAAAGGGGGUAUGCGGCUGGGAAGCCCCUUGUUUAUUUACGCCGGACUCGCCUAACCGUGUCCGAGGUCUGAAAAUGACCUGUUUUUAGGGGCCUUGACCUGCAAGGUCGGAUUAGUGUGUGGCUGUCAAGGCAGCCUUACGUUCUCCGUGGUCGAGGAACACUCGGAGUUACUCUUUAAGGAGAUUAUGCCGCAUGGACCGGGCAUUUUAAGCGUAAGAGACGUGUAAUGUGGUAUUGCGUUAAAGCGGGCGAAAGCUUUGCAUCCCAGUAGUGCUCGAGGGCCACUGUGAAAUGGGGCGAUAUGGAGAGUUAGCUUUUCGUGACGGAAGUUGUCGGAUGAACCGAACACAACCUCUAGUGGUACAGAGCCUGUAUAAUCGGCUUGAAGGCCUGGCGUCACUCCUUUGAAGGAAGUGCUGCUAUGGCGAAUUUUGGUAGGGUCUAUCCCCAUUCUGCGGACGAUGUCCUGGUAUGGCAGGUGUCGUGCUGUGUUUUCGUGUCACGUGAAGUGAGUUCACUGUUUUGACUUCUAGUGGGAAAGUCUUCUGUUUUCCGGAGUGCUGCUUUUGGGGGUCGUCACUUUCGCUCGGUGUGUCGAGCCCCUUGCGUUCGGCGUUAAGUCGGCCGGACUGCUUGAAGACCCAACAAUCUCUGUGGGUAUGGUUUGCAGGCUUCCCGGAGGUACUAUGUAUUUGACAUAGCCUAUCCAGAAUCUUGUUUAGGUUGGAUAGCUCGUCAUUGUUGUCCUUGAGGGGCAGUGUUUUGUUAUUCGGCCGAGAGCUUUUGAAUCCGGCGUUGACCGCCGUACUAUUUGGGCCAUUUUCCUUAUUCCGGCGCUGAUCUUUUCUGCGUCGUGAUUUCCCAUUUCCAUCCCUGACUUCGGAUGUACUCGGGUCGCUGGUGCUGCAUCUAGCCAGCCAGCUGUCUUCCCCCGCGCAAAAGCGGGUCAUGAGGCUUGUUAGUGCGGCCAUUGUUCUUGGUUUUUCCUGGACGAGGUGUCUGGCGAGCCAUUCGUCUCGGACGUUGUGUUUAAAGGCUGCUAAGGCUUCAGCGUCCGGACAGUCGACUAUUUGGUUCUUUUUAGUGAGGAACCUGUUCCAGAAUUUGCGUGCUGACUCUCCGGGCUGUUGAGUUAUGUGACUUAAAUCGUCUGCAUCCGGAGGGCGGACAUAAGUCCCCUGAAAAUUUGCUCGAAACGCAUCCUCAAGCUCUUCCCAACUUCCAAUGGUAUUUUUGGGAGGCUUUUGAGCCAAUGCCGAGCCAGCCCUUUGAGCUUGAGGGGUAGGUAUUUUAUGGCAUGGAGAUCGUCUCCUCUGGCCAUAUGUAUGUGUAGGAUAUAAUCCUCAAUCCAGACUCCGGGGUCUGUUGUUCCGUCAUAUGCCUCUAUGUUGACGGGUUUGAAUCCCGCUGGAAAUCCAUGAUCCAAUACCUCGUCGGUGAAACAUAGUGGGUGUGCGGCGCCCCUGUAUUUGGGUGUGUCGUUGUCUUCGAAUGCUCAGCGGGUUAUGUUGCUUCCUGGAGUCUUCUUUUUUGGCCCAUAGAUGGACCUGGCCGGGUCAUCCUUUUUCCGAGGAUCGUGUGCCGGCUUGUGUCCGGCGCCCCUUGCUGCUCUUGGCCUGUCAUCUGGUCGUCUAUCCGGCCAGGCGGCUUCUUUCUUUUUUGACUGCGGGGGCUCUAAGGCCUCCUCGUCAAAUUCGGGCAACAGCUUGCGCUUCGGGUAGCUCUUUGUCUGGUGACUAGCGCCAUAUUUAUCUGCGGUGUUGAGUACUUUGCUCCAUCUCAUUCUGAGUGCGUCCUCCGCUGUUUUGAGCUUUCGCUUUUGCUUCUUCAAACUUCUUGCAGUGGCGACGAGCCUUUUAUGAAGGUUCAUAUGCUAUGGUGAUGUGAGAUCGUCUUCGCCGGGGAUGGGUUGCUUGUCCAGUUCAUCAUGUUCGGAUGGUUGCUUGGUGGCAUGUUCGUCGUCCACUGCUUCGCCCUGCUCUAGGGCCGGGUUCGUAUGGGUGCCGUUUUUAUCGAGGCCGGUCUUCGGGCGGCGCUUGUGUCGCCAUUUUGGUUGUUUGUCGGGGGAGUUGUCCUUCGCCACGUCCCGUUUUUCCUCGUUGUCGCUUCCUUUUGGUGUAUCCACCAUGUAUACGUCGUGCGUUGGGGUGGCUUUCCGGUGCCGGAUGGGUGCUGGUUCUUGGUCGUCUCCGGCAUCAUCGUCCAUACCGUCGAUGUCUUCGGAGUCGUAGUCUAGCAUGUCGGUUAGAUCGUCGACAGUGGCUACCAAGUGGGUGGUGGGUGGGCUUUGAAUUUCUUCGUCAUCCGCAUCCCAACUGUCCUGGCCGCAGUUCGGCCAGGGCUCUCCUAAUAACGAGAGAUACUUUAGCAAACUCAAGAUGUCGCCGAAAGGUGAGUGUUGAAAGAUGUCCGCUGCGGUGAACUCCAUGAUUGGCGCCCAAUCGGAUUCGAUCCGAGGGGGCGCGGGAGGUUCGGAGUCCGGAGAGGAGUCCGACACCUCGGAGUCACGAGCUUCAUGAGGGACAAGGUCAGUGUUCGGCUCUAUCGCCGUAGAGGUUGCAGGCCCCAAGGCGGUGUCUAGCCAUCCGUCCUCGAUCUGCGCAGCCGGCUGCGAAUUGAAGAUCGGAGCGGGCUCGAGUGCGGCCUCCAAGGUACUGUCCGGCUGCAGAGCUAAAUCAUGCUCAUCGUGACAGUGCGGCAUGCUCGGCUGUGGCUCGAAUCCAUCGAGGAUCAAGUUCCUGUGGAUGUCAGCCGUGAAGUUCAAACUUCCAAAUCUGACCUGACGGCCAGGGGCACAGCUUUCGAUCUGCUCCAAUUGGCCAAGCAAAUUGGCCCGCAGUGCGAAGCCGCAGAAUACGAAGAUCUGUCCGGGGAGGAAGGUCUCACCCUGGACUGCGUCGUUGUUGAUGAUCGAAGAAGCCAUCGAGCCUAUCGGUGACGACACAGAGGAACUCUCAAUGAAAGCACCAAUGUCGGUGUCAAAACCGGCAGAUCUCGGGUAGGGGGUCCCGAACUGUGCGUCUAGGCGGAUGGUAACAGGAGACAAGGGACACGAUGUUUUACCCAGGUUCGAGCCCUCUUGAUGGAGGUAAAACCCUACGUCAUGCUUGAUUAAUAUUGAUGAUGUGUGUUACAAGAGUAGAUCUACCACGAGAUCAAGGAGGCUAAACCCUAGAAGCUAGCCUAUGGUAUGAUUGUUGUUCGUCCUACGGACUAAAGCCAUCCAGUUUAUAUAGACACCGGAGAGGGCUAGGGUUACACAUAGUCGGUUACAAUGGUAGGAGAUCUACAUAUCCGUAUCGCCAAGCUUGCCUUCCACGCCAAGGAAAGUCCCAUCCGGACACGGGAUGAAGUCUUCAAUCUUGUAUCUUCAUAGUCUUGGAGUCCGGCCGAUGAUGAUAGUUCGGCUAUCCGGACACCCCCUAGUCCAGGACUCCCUCAAUGAUAGUAUCAUCAGCAUACUGAAGAAUGAAAAUCCCUCCGUCAACUAGAUGUGGGACCAGGCCACCUACCUGCCCUACAUCCUUGGCCCGACCUAUUAAGAUAGUGAGCAUAUCAGCCACUAUGUUAAACAGAAUCGGUGACAUCGGAUCUCCUUGCCUUAGCCCCUUGUGUGUUUUGAAAUAGUGACCUAUGUCAUCAUUCACUUUAAUCUCUACACUCCCUUUUUGCGUAAAGGAAUCAAUCUGGUUUCUCCAUGCCGGAUCAAAACCUUUCAUACGCAAAGCUUGUUGAAGGAAAGGCCAUUUAACUUUAUCAUAUGCUUUUUCAAAAUCCACUUUAAAAACUACGCCAUCAAGUUUUUUGAGUGGAUUUCAUGGAGCGUUUCAUGCAAGACAACAAACCCUUCAAGGAUGUUUCUAUCAGGCAUGAAAGCAGUCUGGGACGGAUGAACCACAGAGUGCGCAAUCUGCGUAAGUCUAUUUGUCCCGACCUUGGUGAAUAUUUUGAAACUCACAUUAAGCAAACAUAUAGGUCUGAACUGCUCAAUGCGAACCGCGUCUGUCUUCUUAGGAAGAAUAGUUAUCAUUCCAAAAUUCAGCUUAAACAACUGAAGUUGUCCCUCAAAAAACUCCUGGAACAUGGGCAUCAAAUCACCCUUAAUAAAAUGCCAGCACUUUUUGUAAAACUCUGCCGGAAACCCAUCCAGUCCUGGAGCCUUAUUGUUCUCCAUUUAUGCAAUGGCUUCAAACACCUCUUUCUCAGAGAAAGGAGCAGUCAGCAGCUCAUUCUCGGCAGUCUCAAGUUGAGGAACAUCCUCAACCCUAGACUCAUCUAAGGACACAAAAUUCUCUUCCGAGGGACCAAACAACUGCUUAUAAUAAUUGGUAAUGUAGACCUUCAGAUUGUCUUGACCAACUAUCGUCCCUUCAUCUUGUUCUAGCUGGAAAAUUCUCUUUUUACGAUGCUUCCCAUUAGCAAUCAUAUGAAAGAAUUGAGUAUUGUCCUCGCCUUGUACUAUCUUGCGAACCUUAGCUCGCAACGCCCACUUCAAUUCCUCCUCGCGAAGAAGUUGUUUAAGUCGCAUCUCCGCCUCUAUCUUUGUUUCCAACUCACUGGAAUCCAAGAUAGAAGUUUCAGCUUUAACGACAAGGUUUUGAAUAAGUAGAAGAAGUCUCUCCUUCUCCGCCUUAUAAAUACCAUGCGUGUGUUUAGCCCAUCCUCGAAGGAACCUUCGGAGAUGACGAAUCUUGCAUUGCCAUCGCUCGAUAGGCGUCCUUCCUCCUGAGUCUUUAGCCCACUCCCGAGCUAACAACUCAAGGACACCUUCUCUUUCAAACCAGGCAAGUUCAAACGAGAAAAUGCUUUUGUUGCCCACAAAAGUUUGAACUCCUGAAUCAACUAGUAAUGGUGUAUGGUCAGAGACACCUCUUGUCAAUGCCUGCACAGUUACCAGAGGAAACUUCUGUUCCCAUUCGACACUUGCUAGGACACGGUCAAGUUUCUCAAACGUCGGGACCGGUAACGAAUUAGCCCAAGUGAAUUUCCUACCCGAAAGCUCUAUCUCUCUGAGAUCCAAACUUUCGAUAAUAGUGUUGAACAUGAACGACCAUCAGCCGUCAAAAUUGUCAUUAUUCUUCUCCUCCUUCCUACAGAUAAUGUUGAAAUCCCCUCCCACUAAGAGGGGGAGCUGUUCAUUACCACAAAUACAAACCAGAUCCGCCAAAAAGUCUGGCUUGAGCUCUGAUUGCGCAGCUCCGUACACCGCCACCAAAGCCCAAUCAAACCCAUCUGCCUUAGUUCGAACUCAAAACUUGACGGCAAUAUCCCCCAAAACUACACCCCGAACUUCCAAUGUUUCACACUUAACCCCAAGUAAAACCCCACCGAAUCUUCCUUGAGGGGGGAGGCAAUGCCAAUCAAAAUCUACCCCCCCCCCGGACAAAGUGGCAAGAAAUUGUGAAGUGAAGUUGCUUCUUCCAGUCUCAGACAAUGCAAUAAAAUCUAACUGAUGUUCAAGAGAAGCCUCCGCUAGAAAUCUUCUUUUAGCCAAGUCUCUAAGACCUCUGCUAUUCCAGAAAAUGCCUCUCAUAAUUCAUCAUAAAAAAAUUGUAGUGCGGAUCCUAGCACUCCUACGUGCAGCCGAGACGGGAUAAACCUUCCGUUUCCACGUCCGCUUUGGCUUAAGGUGACCAUCAGCCUGAUCAGCACAGUCAUUCUCGGCUUCUAUCGCCUCAGGCUCAUCUACAUGAAGAGACACCUCAGGAAUGGUGUCCUCCUCCGUCUCUGGUAGUGCAGGGUCAAGAUCGGCACACAAGCCAUCAAGAACCCUAACCCCAAGCGCAUCUAUCUCCGAAUCGUUCAUAGGUUUAACAGCAGCAAUGUGACGGAUCAUUUCUACCGCACGAUUAGCUUCCAAAUCAAGAAUGUCAUUAACCGACCUAGAAACCUCAAUAUCAUUUUUACCAAGUGAAACACCUACUUGAUUUGCAUUAUGAAUAAUUUCAACAUCAGUAAAAUGAAAAAUGGAAUUCGACUUAUUAACCGACAUACCAGUGGAGGUCUCGACGUCGCGCAGCUUGGCAGCUCUCAAAGCACACCUCAGCUGCAUGUCAUCAACGUCCGGCUGCUCCUGCAGCCUCCCGCUGACCCGCCUCCCCUGGGAGACCGGGUCCGGGAUACCGCCAAAGGCGAUGACCUCCUCGCGAGAAUCUCUGCUAGGGGAAAGGCCUCCUGCCCAUCCCCCAACAGUGGCUCCCCGGGCCGUAGCCACCGGGGCCGGAGAGCAGCUCUGCGACGACUCCCGCGGCCUGUCCACGGGCGACUCGCCGGCAGCAGGGGCCGGGGAGACCCGCUCACGGUGCUCCAGAGAGGCAGCCGGAGAGACGGGCGCAUCACCUGACCCCGACCACCGCAACGGGGCAAAGAGAGACGGCGGCCUCCUGCACAACCACCCCUCCUCCCGCGCGCGGCGACGUGGGGAAGAGCACCGAGUCCUACAUGGGCGCCGUCGGCGUCAGCAUCACAGGGGACCGGGCCUCCUGCCCGUCACCACUAGCCAUAGCCGCAGUCGCAGCACCAUCCACGGUAGCCAUCAGCGAGGUAGGAGUCGUGGAAGGGCCACCUGCCCCUCGGUAUCUCCCAACUCAAGAACCAUCGGCGCACAAAGAGGAGCCACGGGAUCCACGGAACCCAGAAAUACACCCCGCAGCCUAGGUGGAGCAGAGAAUGGUCCCAAGGACCCAAGCUGCAAAGUGGACGUCGGAGCAACCCCAGAAGACCUCGCAGGAGCCAUAUUAGUAGACUCGGACGGACCAACCGGACCCUUGGCCCCGUCUUCAUCACCCAUAGCCGAAUCAUCCUGGUUCCCCGGGGCACCUCCUCCCUCAGUCAUGUCCAUAGGGUUAUCAUCCUCAAACUCAUCGAACAAAUUAGGAUCCUCAUACAAAACGUCCAGCUGAUACAUAACACCAUCGUAUGUCCAAGGCACCACGUUCGGCAGGAACUCAAUAUUAGCAACACUGACAAGUAAACGCGCCACCCCGUUGGCCCGAGUGAAUGGCAUAUCCACCUGUUCAGUCUUGCCGAUCAAAGACCCCAAACUCCACGUCACCAAGAAGCUAUCCAAGGGAUCAGAUGGUUCCCCAAAGAAACGAACCCAAAUCUGCCUCAACGGCAUGCCCUGCGGCUCCUUCUUUUUCCACUCAUCAAACUGCAACACAAAACUAGUGCCUGUAACCCUGCUCAUACCGAACUUGAGGAUUUGCACCUGAUCCUCCUUAGACGGAAAAUCAACUUUGUAAGACGUAUCAUUUAGCUUGAGCAAGGACCACUGAAAAUUACCCGGAGCGAGUUCCCGCAGCUGCUGAAUAAUUUGCGCCUCGGUCAACGGUCCAUGAACUACCUUCACCACCCCUGGGAAAGAAGUCUCUACCGCUGGUGCCAAAGGUGCCACUCUGGGAGACUCGAAGAACAUCAACUCCGAGCAGCAGACCCCGUAAAUCUGAACAGAAGGCUUAGGCCCAAGCAUAAGAGGACACUCGGCAGCGGUAUGCUUAGGUUUCCGGCACAGGUCACAUAAUUCCGCAGUGCACUCAGCCAUAAAGUGUCCCGUGUCACCACAGCAAAAACAAGUGAGCUUCUUCUUCUUAGCCGCCCACUUGGACAACUUGUCAGCUUCAGAUUUGUCCAUACCAUGCUUAGAAGCAGCAUCACCAGUCUGCAUGGGUUCCGGCAACGUAACUUCGGCCAGAGCCUGAACCGUCUCCACCGCCACCUGCGGUAGAUUCGAUCCUCCGUCAGCCACCUCCGUCUCAACCGUAGUCUUCGGAUGCCUUGGCUGAUAGAAACGUCUGUUCCCGCCCCGCCCUCCGCGGAAACGACCCCGGAAAGAGCGGUUAUUGGGGCCAACCGCACCCUCCACGAAGUUGCCAGGCGGUCCUUGGAAACCCCGGUUGGCAUUACCGUCAUCCACCCAUGCAUAACCACGGCCACCGCCGGUAGACGAAGAGCCCCGAUGCAGCCCAAAGCCAUAAGCAUCAUAUCCAUCAUCGCCCCACUGUCCUCGCAGAGGAUUACGAUCAUCCCCCGCCGACGCACCCGCCCCAUGGCCAUUCGUGCCAGGGCCAGUGCCACCGCGUCCACCCGCCAUCUGCCUCGGCCACGGCCAUUGGGUCGGCUGCGGCUCGGCCCUUGGCGGCGGUGGUGGCGCAGCCCUAGGCUGGGGAGGCAGAGGAGGCGCGGCCUUAGGCGGCUGGGCCACCCUAACCGGAGGCGGAGGAGGCGCUCCCCGAGGCGGUGGUGGAGCUACCCGUGAGGGCGGCGCCGCACGCGCGAGACCCGGCGCCGCAGCAGUCGCAGCCGGAGGAGCAGAAGCCCCCGCGGCCCCGGCCGGGUUCCUCACCACCGGCGCAGCCCGCGGUGGAGGUGGCUUGGGCGGCAUCUCCGCCGAACGAGAACCAGUUGACGGGUGCCGUCCAACGCCGGCGCGAGCUGAGGAGAAACGGCGCAAGGAGGCCGACGGGAAACCAACCGUCCCGCGACGGUGAACCCUAGCAGCAACGAAGAGAGAAGGGGAGGUAGAUCGUGCAUGCAGGGGCGAUCGGUCCGAGGCCACCUCAUGCACGUCGCCCACACCCGUCGCUAUGCAAACCUGGCCAGCCCCCCGGGCCUCUAGCCCAGUACUAGCCAGGCCCGCUUCGCGAGCACUCUCAGGCGGCCCAUCUGUGCCCAAAAGAGCAUAGAAACGCUCAGAUCUGGCCGCCCGAAUGUCACACGCAGCGGCCACCGCCGGCGAUCGUUGUGACAUCAUACGACCCCCUUUCUUCUUUCUUCGAGUCACUCUCGUCCAGCACUCGGGACAAAAAAAAUCAGACAAAGAGAUAGCCGGCGCCCCCCCCCCCUUCGGCAAAGGUCCACUCCAUGGUUUCACUUUCGACUUCUGCGAAGAAAACGGAGUCCCAAACGAGAUAGAUCUCUUAGUACUCACCAAAGGUUUAGGCACCGAGGUAGAUGUAGCCACGCCAAGCGUAGCUGGUGGCCGAACCGUCGUUUCCGGUGGAUCAUCAUCGUCUUCAUCUUCAUCAGCAAGAAUCCAGAAACGUCCUCCAACCCGCUGCAGAGGCUUGGGUCCGUCGGCAUUAUCCGUAAGAUCCACUACAUCGAGUUGCUCGUCGCAAUCCAUGGAUGCCUGCACACACUCAAGAACCUCGAUAUGGAACAAAUAGAUUAUUAAACGCUUACCGAUCGCAAGCUCUUCAUCAACGUUGAGAUGUCGUCCGGCCAGAAUAUCUCCAUCUUCGUCCUGGAUCGUCAUCCAACGAGACGGAUGCGAGUAGAUCGAGCCAUUGAUCCAUCGCCCCGCCUCCCUAUCAUCUUGAAAACGCACAUACCAUUUCGUAGGAUGCAAAAAGUCCCAAUCCCGAUCCGCCGUUGAGGGAUCUCGAGGGGAAAGCGGGGAAGGGAGUAGAUCAGGCGCCGCUGGAGAAACAGCCACGAGCGCCGGCUGCAGAUCAUCAGGAAGCGAUGGGUCCGGCGACAACUGCAGAUGCGGCGGCGGCGGAAGCACCUCCCCGAAAGGCAGGUCUGCCGAGCGGCGCGGCGGCGGGGAACACCCCCUCCCGUUGGCCCGCAAUCCACCCCCAUUGGCCGUCGAGAGGGGCGGCGGAGGUUCCGGCUGGAUUGGCAGCGCCGGGGACGCUCGCCCGUCGCCCACCGAGUCGCCCAUCUGGACCGGGAGCAUCUCGUGCAAGAUCGUACGAGCGGAGCCAGUGUCCUGCUCAAAUCUAUUGGUUAAGAUCAACAUAUAUAUAUAUAUAUAUAUAUAUAUAUAUAUAUAUAUAUAUAUAUAUAUAUAUAUAUAUAUAUAUAAGGUGGGUCUAUUAUGAUAACACCUUUAAAACCCUUAUUCUGCACAUCAACCGUGCUUAUUCUGCUAACACAACCGAAUUGGCCCAUGGCUACAAACUAACCCCGCAACCCAAUCGAACCGAACAGCACCUGCAAAAAAACACUAUCCCACCUUAUCUUCUUCUCGUCCACCCAAUGCUCCUUCUCUCCCACGACCUCCAUCUCCCCACGAACCCCCACUUCAGCACGGCACCUCCCCCGUGCUGCCGCGCCACCCACUCCCCAGUGCCGCCGCGCCGCCUCCUUCCCUCGCACCGCUGCUACACCUCCUUCCCCCGCGCCGCCGCCCCGCCUCCUACUACGGCGGCGCUGCCCCGCCUCCUUCCCCCGCGCCACCACAAAACCUCCUUGCACGGCGUCAGCCGCGCGCCUGGGGAGCCAAUGCGGUUCCACGGUGGCAGACGUGUGCCGGAGUCGGAUUAGUGCGCGAGCGCCGUCAACAAAUCCGUGGGCGUGGUGGACCGCAGCAGCUCCCCGUGCUUGUAGCCCAUGGUGGUGGCACGGGGGACGGCGGGAGGGAGAAGCAGAGAGCAGUCACGGUAGGGGAGGGGAGGAUCCGGCUACGGGGGUCGCGCGGGACGGUGGGAGGUGCGCGGAGGAGCAGAAAGAAGUCGCGCGGCAGGGGAGGGGAGGGUCCGACUACGGGGGUCACAGAGGAGCUGCUUGCCGGGGCACGGCAGCUCGGAUCUCUCGCCGACCGGCGUAUGGGAAGGCUGGUGGUGGCCGUGGUGGCUCUUAGGCCCCAGCUUGCCGGCACACAGGAGGGCGAUGCGGGAUGUAGGAGGGUGCUGGUGGCGCCCUCGCCUGGAUCCGGGAGGAGCUGGGUAGGAGUUGGCGGCAGCAACCACCAACCACAUCGCCGGCCUCUGUGCAGCUCGGUUACCGCUCCCCAUGCAGCUCGGUUGCCGCUCCCCGUGCAGCUUGCUUGCCGCUCCCCGUGCAGCUUGCCUCCGGCGAGCAAACUCUCUGGCGAGUCCACCUCACGUCCGCACCACUCGCUGUGUGCAGUUCGGUUACAUGGAUCGGUUUAAGUGCGAGAGCGCAGCAGCACUCCCACGAAAGGAAUCUAAUUAUUGAAAAAUCUCCGCAAUCCUAUUUCUAAUUAGUAACAAAACAGUCUGACUGCAGUUUUUUGAUUAUAUUGCAGCAGCACUUCCAUCCAACCCGCAGGUCGUUUCCAACACAAAACUUGCAUUUUGGAUGCGCGUGGUGUUGCGGUUCACCUCGCCACAGAAUGCAACCCAGGUCGUCACUCAGUGCAGUCAACCUCGCCAUGCGAUGACGUACACCGACGACUCGAAGCAGUUCUCACGACCAGCUCGCGUGAGCCCGCGACUCCCCGACUUUCUUUGUUGUGGGUCGUAUGAAUUACAGUGCAGCUUAGAUCGUACCAUGAAGUUUGGAGCAUGUGAACAUGGAGUGCAAAAUGGUGCAUUUUGUUCUUGAGGAGUUUAUGUAUAAAAAUUACAGGGACUUUAUUUGAAUGUGUUUAGAAAUUGCAGUUUGGAGUAUCCGCACAUGCAGUGCAUACGCUACUUUUGUGUUUGUGGAUUUUUUUGUAUAAAGGUUAUAGGAACUCAUUUGAUUGCAGCGAAACAUGGUGAUGUUAAGACAUGAGCAUGCAGUUUCUACCAUGUGGACAUGCAAUGAAAAAAUGGUGUUUUCUGUGUUUGAUGAUUUUAUGUAUAAAAGUUAUAUGGACUCGUUUGAAAAUUGUUUACCAAAGAAGUUCAUUUUGAA